CCAUCUACAUGUUUUUUAACAAAUUGAAAUUUUAAAAAAAAUUUGUCAUAAUUUUUUUUGACAAUUAAACACCGUUAUAGGGGUACAUUCAUUAUACAUUUCCUUAUUUUAAUUUUUUAAGUCCUUAUACCGUUUCAAUAAUUGAAAUAAUAGUUUACAGACGAUAUUUUUAAGGGGUGUGAUAUCCACACACCCCAUUUUACUUCUCACACACCUUUUUAAUUUUCGACCGUCGGAUCAGAUGAAUUGAAGAAGAUCAACGGACAAUAAUUAUUAAAGGUGUGUGAGAAGUAAAAUAUGGUGUGUGGAUAGCACACCCCUAUUUUUAACUGUUACCAAUGAAGGUAAUAUAAUAUUUGCUAAGUAUUCUUGGGUUAUGAAAACUGUUUAGAAGACAGUAUUUUUGAGUUAUUUAACCCAUAGUGCAAAGUAUUAACAUAAUAUAUAUAAUGAGCUACAUUAUUUUAUAAUUAGCUAUAUAAACCAUGCACUAUAGUCAAUAGCAUCAGAGGUGCAAUUUGGGCUGAGCCAACCCGAACCCGCCCAUGUCUAACCUGACUUUAAACUCGAAUAAGCGAAUUUUGUUGUUGUUAUAACCCGCCUGAACCCAACCCGAUUUCAACCCGUUCAUUGAUUGGGUUGGAUUGGGUUGAUCAUUUGUCCAUCCCAACCCAAUCCAAUUAACCAAACCCUAUUAGGUUGAGCUGUGCAACAUACUUCUCAAUAACCUUUGCACCUUUGCACCUUUGCACCUUUGCACCUUUGCACUUUCAUGAGAACCUACUGAUAUGAUAUACAAUUUGACUUGAAAGGAAUCAUAUUAAGUUUAUUUUGCUUUUCACAUCACAUCCUGUAGAACAACUUCCUUUAUUAAAUUAAUAUUGCAACUAUUCGACCUCUCUUUGAGAUCUGCUUCACAGUUUGAGUUGUGAUUGUUUCUUAUGCUGAUUCAGACGAAGUAGGCUAUUGAGCAAGUAAAUUUGAGGGAAAGUGAUUUUAAGGUCAGUUGUUUGCUAAUACAAAUAGGUUGACAUCAUUGUUGAAAAACAUUAAACACUACUUGAAAAAGUUAGGCAACCCAAACUCAACCCAAGUAAAUCCAAACCCGAUUAAACCCGAGCCCGACUAAACCCGAUUAAAACCCAAUCCGAACCCGAACCCGAAUUGUAAAAGUUGGGUUAGGAUUUGGUUGAUUUUCCAACUCGCCCGAGUUGCACCCCUAAAUAGCAUUGAUCUAAGUUUUGUCCUAUAGAGAACAUGGUUUGUGUUAAUUUUACAUAUAUAAAAUAAAUGGGUAAACGGUUACCUGUUUAUAACCGUUAUUUAUACCUAUAACCGUUUAUUUAUCUAAAUAGUUACCUAUAACCAUAACCGUAAAGUUUAAAUAAGUGGGUAACUGCGAUUACAAGGUAUUUUACCCAUAUUCCCAUGUCAGAAAGUAAAGCAUUGCCGUAUAAUUUAAAUUAUCUUAGAUCAGUUGAUUUUAGACCGAAUGUUCACAUUCUAAAAUUUCUAAUAACGUCUGCGUUGGUUGUGAUAUGAGUUCUGCACCUCCGAUAUUGUAAAGCAUUAAAUAAAGGCCCAAUUACAAAUUCAUAAUUUUGGCCCAUGGUUUUUGGGCCCAGAGUAAGGUUGCGUAAUUUCCAGGGUCAAGUUUUAAAUUUGAUGCUUAAAUAGCAAGCCCAACCUUUUGCAAUCUCUUACAUGGGCAUUUUCCAGUCUUUACUUUUCAUUUUCAUUUUUACUUUGGAAUUCUAAUCCUGUAUAACAGUACAUGUGGAAAAUCUAUAUCUUUUUUUCUUUUUCUGCAUAUUCCUGUUUAGUUUUGUUAUUUGAUUUUCUAAUACUUUAUUUCAUUCAAAGGUUAGAAAUGAGCAAGAUUUGUGUGUGGGAGAAAAAAGUGUGUGCGACAAUCAUUUCUCAUUUCAUUUUUUAUCGAGGAGAUAAGAGAUUCAAACUUAAAAUCUCUUCUAACAUUGAGAAGUAUCACUAUUGUACUAACGACUAGUUGGUAAUCUUGCACAUGUGUUCAAAACCAAAAAAUUUCUAUUUUGUAUAAUGAGAUGCAAAAUUUAGAUUGCAACGAAGUUCUUCUUUUUAUGCAUGUGAGAGUGAAAUUGCAAUAAAUCGAACAACUUCAAUUACAUAUAUAAGAGUUUCUUUUCUUGUUUGUUAGAAAAUUUUGUGCAGAACGGUUUCAUAUUACAUAUGUAUCUUUUUACUUUUUAUCACGUAUCUUGUCAGGUGACUUCGCAAUGAGAGAUAGAAACACGUCAAGAUACAACGAUUGUUCCAAGAAAGUUUUCUAGUGGUAUGAGAAAGUUAACGAAAAGGGUUGGGACUUGGGAGGCGUUACGUCGUUAUCUGUAACGGUCUUAACAUGGAGCCAAGAUGGGAUGGUAGGGUUUUCGUGUGCAUGAAGGAUGCAGAUGACCUGAUCUGCCUUUCCCUUUGUGCUUGUGACCUCCUGCAAUUUCCAUAUCGACAAAACUUUUGCCCCUUGAUGGAAAUAUCCAACUUUGUGGGGGCCACCAGUCCAAUCCAUGCAUGGAUCCGGCCCGUUCAAUUUUCAUCGCCAGAAUUCAGUUGAUCACCUUGAUAUCAUGACCUAAUUCAAUCAUCAUUUGGAAGACUUUUUUGUCAAAUAAAACGAAAUAAUUGAUUAAUAUGAUUACAAGAUUAAUUCUUCAUUUUCAACAAUAUUGUAGGAUUUAUUUACUAGAGUGAUAGAAGAUUUGAACUUGAAUCCAGACCGCUUUAAAAACUCGUAAAAAAAUAGUAUCAAUGACCAUUUCCUCCUGUUUUGGAGGCAAAUUUGGUCCACUGUUUUUGUGCAUGAAUAAUGGUUGCCUUUAGUAUUAUUUGCUACUUUUUCUUCAGUAAAACAAUAAUACUGUCACUUUCUAUGAUGCCCAUUUCACACUAGCAUGCCCUGGAAGAACUAAAUAUCUUUUGUCAACAAAAAUCUUCCAUAGGUUGUUCCAAUCCAAGCUAGCCUUGGGUUGUCAUGAUGAUUUUGGUUUUAAUACAAAGUAAAUGGUAUAUAUCAACCGACCAACUGUAUAAGUUACUGUCAGUCGUUAAUAUAUGAACGUUGGUUCAUAUAAAUCUCAUAGGUUCCAUUUGGUGUACGAAAUGAAAGGUUGUGAGUAACAGUUAUAUCCUUAAAGAAAAUAUUGACAAAUUAUGUAAUGUACCCAUCCUGCAGUCCUCAUGUUGGCCAUAACCCUACCCAUGUGCAAAUACAAGUGAACAUAUAUCUCUUUUAAUGUAAUCAAAAUUAAAUUGAAACUUAAAACUUAAAUAAGAUUAGGGUUUUGAAUAUUCUAACGUGCAUGGGUUUGGUGACAUAGCAGGUUUAUUCGGUCCCUCGUACACUAGCAAAAGAGCUUGAAAUUAAUUAAUAUAAUUUUAAUUAAAUUAAAUAAUAAUGAUUAAGCUGAGUAAGAAGGAAGAAAGAUCUCCUAAUUAAUCAUCUCCCAAUUGGAUGCAUGACAGUAGCAUUUGGCCCACGUUCCGGAGUAGGCUCCAUCCUCCAUAACAUGCACAUGAGCUGCCAACCAUUUGGUCUCUCUGGGACCGCAUCAUAUUCAUCUGCAGUUAUUUGGAUUCUCAUACGAUCGACACAGAGAGAGAGAGAGAGAGAGAGAGAGAGAGAGAGAGAGAGAGAGGUUUGCAUUGUGAUGAGUGUGAACCCAUGAGACGUUGCAUAGUAUUAUCUUCUGCUACUAUCCCUCCCCAUUGGUUCUGCAAACCCAACACCAACCAAGAUAAGCGUUAGGCUAGUCGGUCGCCUUACCGCUUCUGGUGACGGUAUACUGUUGAUGUAUGUAUAAAUAAUGAACGACUGAGUUUAGUAUUCAUCUAUCUCUUUUGAAAUACCAAACGUACAAUAUGUGACAUUUGUGUAACAAAAGCCGUCUCCUUAUUCUUAUACUUCCAACACCUAGAGUAGUACGUAGCAGUGGUAGUCUUAUCGCACUUACUGACCUUUUUGUUUCAAUUGAUUCUCUCGAUUGAUAAGUGGCCGGUGUUUGGUCCUAAAUAGAAAUUAGGUUAAAUUAUAAACAUAAUCUUUUUCACAAAUGUAUGUUUUACAAUAAGGUAGAAUAAUUAUGUUGACAAAAUUGAAGGUUUCAAUGUACGAUAGAUUAAUUGGAAUGUAGAUGAUUCUCAGUUGUUGAGGCAUUCACUUUAUUUGGUGCGGAUGUAUAAUUGAUGGACAGUCGUUCAUGCACGUGUGUUUGUAUGAAGAUAUGUAAAGCAACCCUCUAGAUAUGAAUAGACAUAAGGUCUUUGUAAGUUGGGCUACUACUAUAUAGCGAAUUAAUUUUAUGUUGAAACCUCAGCUUUAUUCAUGAUAUCAAAGUAGGGUGUUUCAUGUGUGAAGCCCAACGGCUACACGUGCUUCACAUCACUCAUUUUAUUUUGUCCAUGUGCUAAGCUUAAAAAUUCGUCACGUGAUGAGACGUGUUGGAGUAUUAAUCCUACAUCGAAAAGAAGGAAACUUGCAUUGACAAAUAAGAUACGCUAAUACCCAUAUUAUCAAUUAAUUUUAUAAAUUUUAUAGUAAAACCCAAACAUUUUUCAUAAUUUUCUUUGGAGUUAACUAAAGCCAGAAGUUUGUGGUGUUGUUAACUCACUACCUAGGAGUGGACAUUUUAACCGGUAAAUCGGGUCGAGAAAACCAAAAGAAUCGGGUUUGACAUUGUCACAUUCUUGUUGCAUUUUUUCCCAAAUACCGAAUGUAAUGUGCCAUUCUUGUUACGGACAAGGAUUGUCUGCCCUCCUAGUUGUGGUGCCCUUCUAUGCCCUCCUAUUUUGUGCGGUCACGGUUAAGCCACGUCAACAUUUUAUAUUAAUUUUUUAAUGAGAUAAUAAGACAAAAAACAAUAAAAAUAUAAAAUAUUAACGUGGCUUAACCGUGACCGCACAAAAUAGGAGGGCAUGGAAGGGCACCACAACUAGGAGGGCACCUUGUCCUUCUUGUUACAAAAGCCUCUUUAUUCUUAUCCAAUAGAAGUAGUACGUAGUCUUAUCUCACCUAAUGGUCUUUUCUGUCAAUUGAUUCUCUCAGUUUAUAUAUAAGCUUUGUUUGUUUCAAAAUACAAAUUAGCUAAAUCAUAAACGUAAUGUGUUUCUGUUUGGAUCUUACUGUACACCAUUGAUCUGUUUAAUUGAGGCUGUUGAAUUUUAAUAUUUUUCUUAAAUAUUACUAUUGCUGAUUCGAAUUCAAUAGAGAAAACCAGGCAUUAUCCAUUGCUGGUUGUUUGUUGGAGAUCCAUUUGUUGAUAAAGACUUACUCAAGUGAUGGCAAGGAUUUUCCAACUUGGCUUGAGUAAAGAAAAGAUAAAAGAAGGUACCAUCCAUUUGUGAUAUUAUCCCUUUGGCCAAUUUGAUAAUUUAUUCUUUUUGGCCAAUUUGAUAGUAUUUCCUAAUAGAAUGCUCAGUGUUCAUUAAGAUAAAGAUGGCCAUCAAAAGGCCUUUGGUAGCCACGGUAUGGACUUUACAACACGUUCAAGCGUAUUAGUCCUAUAAAUACAUAAAACCGUGUAAUGAGAAGGCAACCUUCAACUUAACAUACAAAUAUGCCUUGCACAAAUCUCGCUCUAGGCGAACACUUCUCACACUCAGAGAACUAACUAACUCACAUUUUGAGAAAUCACUAACUCUCCACUUUCCUAACUACUUAAAGCUCGAUUGAUUAUCUAUCCAAGUCUCAGCUGACGAGGAGUCCUUGAUUCUUUAAUUGAACGAGGUCACUUUACUAGCUUUCCAACCAAAUUAAGUGUUUUAUGCUUGGUUACUUCUGGUACAUUUUAGAGUUCGGUAUUCUGACGGUUGAACAACAUUUACCAUCAAGACAUUUAUCUCUUUCGAGUACGAGUAUCCUUACAGUUUAACUCCGAACUGAUCAGAGCACUUAUAUUUUCACAAAUAUAGUCGAGGCGGCCGAACCUGGUGCAAAAGAUCAUGAACUUCACAGUGACUAACAACCUUUUUGACAUCACCACCACAUUCAUUCUACUAACCGACCGAGUUCGAUGGCAAGUUAGCACGACCGCAUUCAUCAUAAUGACGUAGUUAGCUUUUUGUUAUUCAGUCUACGUGUAAGUAAACUUGAUAGUUUUUAAGGUCAACAAUUUCACAAAUUGUGCUUUACAUUCUAACAAGUUUUACGAUCUCAACUUAUACUAGACGAAGGCGGACGAUCGAUUGUUAGUUGUUGCUGCGAGUUUCAUUGUGAUUGCGGAUGUAUAAUUGACAUACAAUCGUAACGUGUGUUUGUGGGCAAAGCAACUCUCUAGACAUCAAAAGAUAAGGUCUUUAGUUUUAUUCAGAAUUUGAGGUGUCUAUAUAAGUCACAAAAACCAAGAAACCUCUCGAACUCGUACCUUGGAUGCAGUGGAUGGGUUCCUAUCACAUGGUUGUCGCCAAAGGCAACAGAAGAGUACUCGCUAUAAUACUAAAUUAACAUGGUCCACUAGACGGUGGCUUUCCACCCUUUUUGUCGAUCGUGAGAGUAUGAUUUGGCCAAAUGCACUGUUAUUCUCCCAAAGUCGAGGUCAAUUUAGUAAACUAAUAUAUAGAAGUUUUUAAAAGUCACUAGUCUAGUAGCGGGUAGAGGCCUGUCGCUUAGGGGGGCCUAGGUAAUUUUUUAUUUUUAAUUAAUUUUUUAUAUAAUAUAUAGAUAAAUAUCUACUUAUAUUUUUUUUAAAAUAUAACUGUAUUGAGAUACAUUAAUUAGAAAAUGGAACUAUAUAUAAAUUAUAAAGUAUUAGAAUUGAAAACAUGGGGAAUAAACAUAUAAUGAGUGUUCAUCUCAAUAUUUAACAAGUUUUUUACAAUUUAUUGAAAAAAUAAAAUGUAAAAUGAAAGUUAUCUAUUUUCUAUCUAAAUGAGAGUUACGAUCUAGACGAGCGCCUACGCAGAUCUAGACGCUCUUUCUUAGUUUUCAAACGUCUAGUGAUCAAUCAAAGCGAUGACUACCUGCUUAGCGCCUAGGCAGGCUUAAGCGAAGCUAGGCGGUAAUUUUUAAAAGAAUGUGAUAUAUAGUUAGUAAUGAUAGCUACAAGGAAGAAAGAAACAACCCCACUGUACGAAACCAAAAACACUAAGCUACGAUGUGUUCUUAUCAUCUUAAGUUGUCCUACGAAUAAGUUAUGAAACCUAAUAUUAUGUUGUUGACCUAACCAAGUAGCUAGUAGCUAGUAUCGUUCACAUCAUCACUCCUAAAGUAACUUGAGGUAAAUUAGUUGCAAGAUAGCUAGAAUACAGAUCCGUCAAGGGACAUUUUUGUAAGACACAUUUUUAUUGAAAGCGCUACAAAUUUUUAUCGAAAAUUCAAGUACAUCUUGUUGGAGCAUAACGUGGUAUUGUUUGCAUACAUCAUGUAAAACUUUUACAUGUUAGGAUUUAACAAAGCAAGUAUUUUACGUUUUCAUCUCUCACACUUCAUUGUGAUCGAAACUCAAAAGAAAGAUGAUAAUAAGGUCAACUAGUACCCUAAUGAAUAUGAUUUUUAAUUUUCCGUGUAUUGCAUUACGGUUAAAAUGCAAGAUUUUUCCAAUAUUAAACUAUCAUAAGUAGUGUGUGAUGUCAGAGAUAUUACGAGACGAAGAACUUGCUGGUUCUAGUAUGAAAAUUGUUUUUGAAAUUUUGAUUUAAAAUGAUUCAGUCUUCAUAGGUGUCGGCGGGUUGGAUUGGUUUUUAGCUUAAAAGACCAUUUCUGUCCAUUAAUGUUGGUAGUCAGUUGAAUCAAUUAUUUUUUCUACGUGUUUAAUCUUAAACAAAAUUAAAAAAACGGUUUGUUUGGGGAAGGCUGUUAUUUAUUUUUAUUAAUUUUGAAAAAGUCGCGGUAAAAUCCCGGACAACUGUCAGCAGCUGGAGUCACUGUCAGUCGCGCUUGCACGCCGCCGUAGCUUAUUAAACUCCGGUCACUCACUUCCGCUCGUCUUCCGCCGGAAACGCCCUUUUUUUUUUGCUCGAUCAAUAAAAAUUAAAGUUAAAAAAAAAAGAAAAGAAGAAGAACGUUUCUGAAUUACCAAUCAGCUCUUCAACUUCCAUUGGCCACAGCAGUACAGAGCACUGUGUCUCUCUACUUUCUCUCUCUACACACUCUCUCGUAUACUUUCUCUCUCUAUACAGAGAGAAACACAGCACGAGAGCUCUCUGUUGGUAUUUUUUACGGACGUACACGCGGUUGUGUAGGCGUAGAUUCCUUUGCCCCCACUGCGUCAUAUAAUUUUAUCAAUAAAUAAAUGCCAAAAAGCUCUCUCUCUCCCCGCUGAAACCGCAUUUAUACACAGAGAGAGGGCCUAUUCCUAACGUUUUCCUCAUUUUUAUGUGCUGCUUUGGUUUGCCUAUAUUCACUCCUCCUCCGGGGAUCUCAGCCGUCCUCCGCCGCUCUUGCGAGAAUUCACCGGCUCAGCUGUCACCGGCAAGUUUCUCUCUUUGCUUUGGUAUUUAUUUCUGCUGAAAUUUUAAGCUGUUUUUUGUUUGUAAAGUUGGAAACUUUGCUGUGAUGGAAUUGAUGGGUUUUGAGUAUGUUGAUUUUGUGCGGAUUUUGAGGGCAUAAGUGGGUAAUUUGUGGAUUUUGGGCAGAUGGGCAGAUGGGCAGCUGUUGUUUUAGCCCAGUGCAUACGUGGUCUACAGUGUACUGCUUUUGGAUUUCUGGGGAACCUAUAGAGAAUAAUUGCCAGAAAGAUAUGGUCUUGUAGUGUAAACUUAUUGAUUUCUGGGUGAAAUCGAAGGUUUCAUAUCUGGGUUUGUUUUAAUUCGUUGAAUUGGGGAUUUAUAUCUCGUGGAAUUGGACUAUUGGCGUUAUAAAAUUCUGGAGUUUUUGUGGAAUUUGGAUUUAUGGAGGCUUUUGGAGGCAGAGCUCGGAAUUUCUAUGGUACGAUGGUGCCGGAUUUGAAGGGGGCUGGGAAAAAGAGUUUGGAAUGGGAUUUGAAUGAUUGGAAAUGGGAUGGUGAUCUUUUUACCGCUAGUCCUUUGAAUGCUGUACCAUCUGAUUGUAGGAGCAGGCAGUUGUUUCCGCUUGGGCUGCCGGAAACUCCCUCCACUGCUGGUUUGUCCAACAGUUCUUCUUCUGGUUCGGACGGUAUCUGUCCAGGGAAUGAGAAAGGUAAAAGAGAGCUGGAGAAAAGAAGAAGGGCUAGUUUUGUAGAAAAUGAAGGGCUAACUGAUGAAGUUGGGUCUCUUAAUCUCAAGCUUGGCGGGCAAGCUUACCCAAUCAUGGAAGGAGAGGUACAACAUGGGAAGAAGACGAAGAUAGUUGGGACUACUUUAAACCGAGCAGUUUGUCAGGUGGAGGACUGUAAGGCUGAUCUUAGCAAUGCCAAGGAUUACCACCGACGACAUAAGGUCUGUGAUAUGCAUUCUAAGGCAACUAAAGCGGUGGUGGGAAAUGUUUUGCAGCGGUUCUGUCAGCAGUGUAGCAGGUUAGUUCAAUUCUAUGGUUGUCCUUGUAUGGUGAGAAAUAUUUCAAAUUUUCUUCAGUUAAGUUCUACGUCGUUUAUUCGGUGCUUUCUUAUAGACAUUGUUUCUAGAAGAUGAAAUACAGAGUUUGAUUUGUAAGUUUUAAAAAAAUUAUUUGUUGCUCUCAUGAUUUGGGUCCAUAGUUGUUCAUCACUGUGUUUGGUAUAGUCGAAUUUUGAAGAACUUUUUUGUUGAAUUUGGAAUGUGGUUAUACUUAUGGGCAGGUUUCAUGGCCUUCAAGAGUUUGAUGAAGGAAAGAGAAGUUGUCGUAGACGUUUGGCAGGCCACAAUAGGAGGAGAAGAAAAACACAUCCUGAUACUGUAGUUAAUGGAGGCUCAUUGAAUGAUGAAAGAGGAAGCAGUUAUCUAUUGAUUAGUUUGCUGAGAAUACUCUCCAACAUGCACUGUAAAUCUUUGUGUUAUUGCACAUUCAAUUUUUGGCUGCUUUGCCUGACAUUAAAUUGAUAUGCUAAGUGUAUGUUAAGUGGUUACCGGAUUGUGUGUUGAUUGCCAUAGACUGAUGUCAAAGUUCUUGUGGUCUUUUGCUCUUAGGUUUUGUCAUUAUUUGAUUGAGGCUUGUAGCAAAAUGAUUAUGUCAAUUAACAUUUAAUAACUCCACUCAUAAAUUUUUAUUUGUAAACAUACAACAUAUUACUUGAUGAGUCCUUAACUGCUUAAGGUGCUCUAUUUUUGUGUAUAAAUGACAAAGUGCUAGUUUCUCUGAAUUUAAUUUGAUGAAAAUUUGAAUAUUGAUGCUUACGCAUGAAAAGUUUUCAGUUUUUCAGAGGUUGAUUUGAUAGAAAGUUAGAAUUUUGUGCAGACCUUCAUGUCGAAAAAUAUUUCAAUUUUUAUAAUCCAGAUUACACCUUGUGUGCUUGAAUUUCAUCCCUUGAACCCUUGUUUUUUGCACUUUCUUUCUCUGAUUGUUGGACUGUCCAUAUUUCACAUUCUAGGAUGCAUGAAGGAAGGGCCUAUUAAAGGGAAUUCUAAUUAGGAAUUGUUAUUUAGGAAAUUAUGUCUCAGUGAUCAUGUUAUUAUAAUAUUUAUUUGAUUAUGUUUGUGUUUGUUUUUCUUCUCAUAAGUGUCUUACUCAACUCCACUUUUGAUGCCUAAAAUGCAGCUAAUAGUUCAGAUCAAACAAAGGAUCAGGAUUUGCUAUCUCAUCUUUUGAAGAAUCUAGCCAAUCUUUCUGGUACAGUUGAUGGAAGAAACAUGUCUGCAUUGCUUACGGCAUCUCAAGGUUUAAUAAAUGGCGGGGCAUCAAUUCAGACUGCACAAAAGGUCCCAGAUACAGUUUCCAACGGCUGUGAACCAAGUAAGCCUUCUGUUUCAGCCUCUAAAAUGGAUGAUUAUAUUAAUGGUGAGGACCCUUCAAGACCUAUACGACAGUGUUCUACGGUACCUGCAUCAGAUUUCAGGAGAAUAUCUUCAGUUGAUGCAGAUCAUGGAGGUCUACAAGUUGUUUCAGGUCUAAAUGCCACGAAGCCAUUUCCUUCAAGAGACAGUGUUCCAUCCACAUCAGUUGCACCAGAAGCUACAAUGGGGAGGAUGCAGUUAAAUGGCAUUGAUUUAAAUAAUACAUAUGACGAUUCCCAGGACUAUUUGGACAACCUAGGGAAUUCGCAUGCCCCUGUAAAUUCAGGGACAGUGGCUCAUGGUUUUCCCUUUUGGAUGCGUCAGGAUUCGCAAAAGUCUAGCCCACCUCAGACAAGUGGGACUUCAUGCUCAACUUCAUCAAGUUCUAGUGGAGAUGCUCAGGUAUAUUCUUGUUGUACUUGCAUCUCGUUCCUCGUUAUUGCUUGGUAUAUUAAUGCUUGUAUAUGCCAUAACCUGUCCUUUUCUGUUGGAUAAAAGAAUAGCUUUGUUCUCACUUUAAUUUGGCAUUUAGGUGACAAUGCUUUGCAUUCGACUUGUCCGUUUGUCUAGCCAAUUGAUUGAAAAAACAUGAAGUACUCGGCAUACCUAAUAAAUACUUCUGUUGUGACGUAAGAGUCAAGAUGGAUUCUCUUCUUUUGUAUAGUGCUUUGUAUGUAUAAAUGUGUGCGUAUGCUUCUGCUUGAUAAGGUUUAUAGAGUUGUAGUUAAACUACAGGAGGUUGCAGGCUAUAUCAGUUAGAGUUGAGUAUUUUUUAAAUAUUUUUUAUUAUGAAGGCCAGUGUGUAAAAUGUUACUGCACUGUUACGUCUCUUAACCACUCUUUUUCUGCCGUGUUUCAGAGUCGCACAGACCGUAUUGUUUUUAAACUCUUUGGAAAAGAUCCAAAUGAUCUUCCAUUUGUUCUACGAGCACAGGUAAUAUUUGGUGCCUUGAUUUAAUUCUUCACAAUGUAACUUGUGUUUCCUUGCACAUACAACAAUUUUAUGAAAUAUUUUGAAUAUCCAGAUUCUCAACUGGUUGUCCCACAGUCCUACUGACAUUGAAAGCUACAUAAGGCCGGGAUGUAUCAUUUUGACAGUUUACCUCCGUCUAGAAAAAUCCACGUGGGAGGAGGUAUGUUUCUGUGCUGAUGCCAAAAUGUUGAUUGCUGACCUUGUAUCAGGGAGAUCUCUUUUCUUGUCCUUAAUUGUUAUGUUUGCCUGCAGCUCUGCUGUAAUCUGGGAUCCAUUAUAAAACAACUUUUACAUGCUGCCAAUGAUCCUUUUUGGACAACAGGAUGGGUGUAUACUAGGGUGCAACAUUCUGUAGCAUUUACGUACAAUGGUUUGUUCUCUCUCUCUCUCUCUCUCUCUCUCUCUCUCUCUCUCUCUCUCUCUCUCUCUCUCUCUUAAUUAUUCAUUCAUAUAUUUUCUAGCUCAUUUAGUGAUUUACCAAUAGUUGUGUUAUGAAAGAAAAGACAUUUUAAAUAGUUAUGUCUGUACUGCAGGUCAAGUUGUCUUAGACACACCCUUACCUCUGAAAAGCCAUAAAAAUUGCAAGAUAUCAUGCAUCAAACCAAUUGCAGUUUCUUUAUCCGAAAGAGCUGAAUUUGUAGUAAAGGGGUUUAAUCUUUCUCGUGCCACCACAAGGUAUCCUUAUCUUUCAUUCAAGCUUCAUUAUGUAGACCACUCCAGUGUCAUAUGUUAUUUCUGAAUUAGUAACUAUCAGGAUAACUGGGAAGGAGGAAAGUACUAAGUCCUAGCUUGUGACAGGUUGCUCUGUGCUCUGGAAGGGAAGUAUCUAGUCCAAGAAACUUGUUAUGACUUGAUGGAUGGUGCUGAUACAACCUUUGCGAAUGAUCAGCUACAGUGCCUCAGAUUCUCCUGCUCUAUACCCAAUGUUACUGGCCGAGGACUCAUUGAGGUGCUGUUCCAUUCUUAAUAUAUGUUUUAUAUUUCCUUUGAAGUGUGCUUAUCAUUACUUAUUUAUUUAUUUUUAUUUCAGGUUGAAGACCAUGGUCUCAGCGGCUGCUUCUUUCCAUUUAUAGUUGCCGAGCAGGAAGUAUGUUCAGAGAUUUGUACCCUGGAGGGUGCGAUUGAGGUGGCUGAGACUGCAGAUAACAUCCAGACAGAACCUGAAAAGUUGGAAGCCAAGAACCAAGCGUUGGACUUUGUACAUGAAUUGGGUUGGCUCCUUCACAGAUGUCACACUAAAUUUAGACUUGGUCACGGGGAUCCCAACUUAGAACUAUUUUCUUUUAGACGGUUCAGGUUGCUUAUGGAGUUUUCCAUGGACCGUGAUUGGUGUGCUGUAGUGAAGAAACUCCUGGGCAUUCUGCUUGAGGGUACCGUUGACACUGGAGAACAUCCUUCUAUUGAGCUUGCGUUAUUGGAUAUGAGCCUCCUCCACGGAGCCGUGCAAAGAAAGUGCAGGCCUAUGGUGGAACUCUUGUUAAGAUUUGUCCUAGACAAAGGGUGGCAACAAGUUGACGGGGACGGCAGCAACUUCUUAUUUAAACCCGAUGCAGUUGGGCCCAUGGGAUUGACUCCUCUUCAUGUUGCAGCCAGUACUGAUGGAUGUGAGAAUAUAUUGGAUGCCUUAACUGAUGAUCCUGGAAAGGUAAUUUCUCAUUGUCUUCUUUGACAGUUUUCUUUCUAAUUGGAUGUAAAAAUCAGAACAGGUCUGCAUCAUUAUCCAUUUUUCUCCGUACGUGUUUGACCGUUUGCUCAUACAAAUGACUCAUGUCAGCUCAUUCUGUGUCUCACAUGAAUGUUGAUAUUUCAAAUCGUUGUAUUUUCAAGCAUACAAAUGUUGAUAUCUUUGCUUCUUUAGGUGGGAAUUGAAGCGUGGAAAAAUGCUCGAGACAGUACAGGAUUGACACCAAAUGAUUAUGCAUGCCUGCGAGGCCGCUACACCUAUGUCCAAAUUGUCCAGCGGAAAAUCAACAAGAAACAUGAAAGCGGGCACGUGGUGCUUGAUAUCCCUGGCGUUAUCUUAGACAGCAGCAGCAAGCAGAAACAAUUAGAUGGGCAUAAGUCCUCAAAAGUCUCCAUCUUGGAGACCGAAAGGAUCGAUAUGAAAGCAAUGCAGGCACAUUGCAAGCAAUGUGAAAUGAAACUAGCAUAUGGAAACACAAGGUCGUUUGUGUACAGGCCGGCAAUGCUGUCAAUGGUAGCCAUUGCUGCUGUCUGUGUUUGCGUGGCCUUGCUCUUCAAAAGCUCGCCUGAAGUCCUUUAUGUCUUCCAGCCCUUCAGGUGGGAACUCUUGGAGUAUGGACCGAGCUAAGGCAGUUUACGCGUCUCAAAUUUUAGUUACUCUGGCUUUAGGCCGUUUGUGUUAAUCAUAUGUAUAAACGGAUAACUCAAAUUUUAGUUACUCUGGCUUUAGGCUGUUUCUGUUGAUCAUAUGUAUAAACCGAUAACUCUAUAGGGAACAUAAUGUACCAGUUUUCGUAUCCGUUAAGAUUUCCACGAGAGGUGUUGCACUGUAUGUAUUAAUGAUAGUUCAUAUAAAGCGUGUAUAGGGAAAGAUUGACGUAAAUAGUACUAUUGACCAAUUGUUGAGGCAAUAGAUUGCUGCAUUACUUCCAAAAACACAUACAAACAUUGUAUUCGAUGAGGCGGAAGAUUCGGACUUGAAAAUUCUUUCGCUUUUAAGUCAGCUUUCUUAAACAGAAGACAAUAUUUAGUAGGGCGGCCUGACUAAUAAUUUCUUUCGCUUUUAAGUCAGCUUUCUUAAACAGAAGACAAUAUUUAGUAGGGCAGCCUGACUAAUAAGUAGGUUAGACUACUCUUGCUAAAUUUUAUGCAUUGAGAGUUGUAUUUACGUAAGACUGGAUGGUGACCAAAUACAUAGAAUCACGUUCCUUCAUGAGGGGAUAAGGCUGUCUCACAAAGGUUGGAGCUUUGUGCUUACUUAGAUACAUGAAUCUCGUUCUUUCGUGAGUCAACUUUUCAGGUUAUUCAACUCAAAUGUUAUGAAUAAAAUUGGGCCAAAAUUAGAUCAAACAGUUGUUUUUCUCCAAAUAUUUUUAAUUUGGUCAAAUGCAUGAAUCUCGUUCUUUAGUGAGAUAACUUUUCAUGUUAUUCAACUCAAACGUUAUGAAUAAAAUUGGACCAAAAUUAGAUCAAACAGUUGUUUUUCUCUAAAUAUUUUUAAUUUGGUCAAAUCCAAUCCGAGUCUAAUAUUAACUAGCAAAAAAAAAAGCAGAAAAAUGGAUUUUACAGGCUAAUAAAAUAAUAGGAAAAGGACUCCAGUCACAGAGACACGUUGACUCAUAUUUUGACAUGAAAUUGUUUUCCACUUCAACAAGUCAUAUUCAUGGUCCUUACAUAGUGUACACAAUUAUUACCUUGUUUAAUCUUUUUCAAUUAUUUUGUCGUUUUGAACCUUUUUUCUUUGGUUUAAUUGCCAAUAAUUCAAGCAUUAAAUCUUGAUCUCGAAAUGGAACAAUUUUCCGGUGUACUAAGAUCACGUUCACGUAAAAUUACUGGUUCAUUUAAAUUAUAUUACGUAGAUUUGUUAAUAUUAAGUUUAGGUUAAAUCUCACAAUAAUUAGUAAUAAUAUGACGAGAAUUAAACUUGAAAUAUAUCACUUAUAAUAAAAUAAAAUAUCAUUAGUUUAAAUAUUAAAAUGAUACACCUCGUAACUUGUAACGCUGUUAAUUUCUAAUCGAAAUCAAAAGGAGACGCGUCAUUUGAGGCCACCACCUCUCUCCUCUCACUCUCCCCACUGAAACCGAAUUUACACAGUAAGAGAACCCUUUUCCUAACCUUUUCCUAAUUUUCAUGUGCUGAUUAGCUUUGUCUCGGGGCCUAUAUUCUCUCUGCCUCAACUGCGAUCUCAGCCACUUCUUCGUCAGCUCUCAGUUCUCAGCUCAUCUCCCAACAAUUCACCAACCUGCCGGCAAGUUUCUCUCUCUUUACUCUCUCGCUCUCCUCUUUAUUUCCACAAAAAAAGAUUGGGUCUUUCAGUUCUUUCAGCUCAAGUUUCUUUCCAUGGAGUUGAAAGCAUUGACUAGGAUGUAAUUGUGGGCUUGCAAAUACGGUAUUUUGUACUGACUUGUUGAGAGAAAAACUGGGUAAUUGGUGGAUUUUGGGUUCUGGGCAGCUGUAGCCUGUAGUUUAGCUCCAUUUUUAUGCUGGUGUGCUGUUCUUGGUUUUCUGGGGUUCUUGGAAAGAACAAUUUCCAGAAAUUUCUGGGGCUGUGGUGUUAUUGACUUUUUGUUUUGGGGUGAAAUUUAUAGUUUUAUCUCUGAGCUGUAGUUGUUGUUAUUGUUCAAUUGGGUGUUUGUAUCUGGUGGAGUUUGACUAGGGGGCAUUGUAACAUCUCUGGGUUUUUUGUAUCUUGAUCUAUGGAGUCUGAAUUCGGAGGAAAGGCUUGUAAUUUUCGUGGUGUGAUGGUGCCGAAUUUGAAGGGGGUUGGGAAAAAGAGUUUGGAAUGGGAUUUGAAUGAUUUUAAAUGGGAUGGUGAUCUUUUUACUGCUAGUCCAUUAAAUUCUACACCAUCUGAUGGUAGGAGUAGGCAGUUGUUUCCGGCCAGGCCAGAAACUCCGUCGGAUGCUGGUUUGUCCAACAGUUCUUCUUCUGGUUCGGAUAAUAUCAGUCCGGGGAAUGAGAAAGAUCAAAGAGAAUUGGAGAAACGGAGAAGGGAUUUUUUUGUGGAAAACCGAGAGUUGAAUGAUGAAGCUGCGUCUCUGAAUCUUAAACUUGGCGGGCAAACUUACCCCAUUAUGGAAGAAGAAGUACAAACCGGGAAGAAAACAAAGACAAUUGGGACUACUUCAAACCGUGCAGUUUGUCAGGUGGAGGACUGUAAGGCUGAUCUUAGCAAUGCCAAGGAUUAUCACCGGAGGCAUAAGGUCUGUGCUAUGCAUUCUAAGGCAACUAAAGCGCUGGUUGGAAGUGUUAUGCAGCGGUUCUGUCAACAGUGUAGCAGGUUGGUUCCAUCCUAUUGUUAUUUAUUGUUUGGUUGAAACAUUUCCCCGAUUUUCUUGAAUUAACUUGAAAUACAGAGUUUGGUUGUGUAAAUUUUGUUGUCAUGCGUUUGUUGUGCAUGGCUGUUCAUCAAUCUUCUUACGGUAUGGUUGAGUUCUGCAGAAGGUUUUUUUUGUUGAAUUAAAUGUAACAGGGUUAACACUCGUGGACAGGUUUCAUGCUCUUCAAGAGUUUGAUGAAGGGAAGAGAAGUUGCCGUAGGCGUUUGGCUGGCCAUAAUAGGAGGAGAAGAAAAACACAUCCUGAUACUGCAGUUAAUGGAGGCUCUUUAAACAAUGAAGGCGGAAGCGGUUAUCUAUUGAUUAGCUUGCUGAGAAUACUUUCAAAUAUGCACUGUAAGUACUUGCCUUAUUCAUUGUACACUUCUGUCUUAGUGAAACAUUGUAUCUCAGAUUUAUUUGAAUCCGCAUAUUAUGCCAUUUAUAAAUUGCAGCUAGUAGUUCUGAUCAAACAAAGGAUCAGGAUGUCAUAUCUCAUUUGUUGAGGAGCUUAGCCAAUGUUGCUGGUACGGCUGAUGGAAGAAACAUAUCUACAUUGCUGCAGGGAUCUCAAGGUUUAUUUAACAGUGGGACAUCUGUCCAGACUGCACGAAGGGUUCUAGAUAUGAAUGCUGGUGUUAAUACUGAGGACCCUUUAAGGUCUAAAGGACACUGUUCGAUACUACCUGCAUCAAGAGACAGUUCUGAAUCCAAAUCAGUUACACCGGAAGCUACAAGUAGAAGGUUCCAGUUAAAUGAUUGAUUUAAAUAGUACAUAUGAUGAUUCACAGGACUAUGUAGAGAACCUAGGGAAUUCUCAUGUUCCUGCAAGUCCAGGCACUGCAUCUCUUGGUUUUCCUUCAUGGAUGCAGCGUGAUUCUCAUAAAUCAAGCCCACCUCAGACAAGUGGGAAUUCAGACUUAACUUCUACUCAGUCACCGUCAAGUUCUAGUGGAGAAGCUCAGGUAUAUCCUUGUAAUUGCAUCUAUUCCAUAAUUGCUUGGUAAUAUAAUGCUUAAAAAUGCCUUUGUCGUGGAUGAUGCUCAGCCCACUGUAAUUCGUCUUUUUUUUAAUCUUUUUUUCCAUGAGACCAGGGAUUAAUAUAUCAAUUGUCAUUAAUCAUUAUACGGCGUAUAACUUGUCUUUUGUUUGGAUAGUAGAAUACCUUUGUUCUAUCCUUGAGAGUAGUUAGGCAGUCAUGUAUUGUGUUCUGAACGUGUCUGUGUAUCUUUCCAUGGAUUGUCAAAAUAAUGGCGAGGUUAAGUGCGCUCGCUGCUUGGUUAUGGGAUAUAUGUAAGAAAUGCUUCAAUUGUGACUUAAAGUUGAGAUCAGUUAUCUCUUCCUUCAAACCAAUAUGGCAGUUUACAAGCGCAACCACACACACAAACAUACUUGUUGUGUAUACGUCUUCUUGAUGCUGUUAAUAGAAUUGAGGUUAAAGUUACCUGGUGGUUUCUGCAGUCCUAAUGGAACAUGCAUUAUUUAUGUAAAAGGCCAGUAUGUAGAAUGUAUCUGCAAUUUUACGUUUCUUGACUGCUCUUUUUCUGCCACAUAUCAGAGUCACACAGACCGAAUUAUUUUUAAACUAUUUGGAAAAGACCCUAAUGAACUUCCACUUGCUCUGCGAUCACAGGUACUAUAUUUCCUUUGAUUUUUCUAGUUUUCAAAGUACUUUUCAAAGUAUUUUGGUGUUUCAUUCCACGGACUCCAUGAUUUUUAUAAAUUAUUUGAAUAUCCAGAUCCUCGACUGGUUAUCUCACAGCCCUACCAACAUUGAAAGCUACAUAAGGCCGGGCUGUAUCAUUUUGACAAUUUACCUUCGUCUAGAAAAAUCCACGUGGGAGGAGGUAUUCUCGACUGUGGAUGGCAGAUCCUUGUAUGAGGAAGACUUUUUCUUCAAGUCCUUAAUUUUGACAAUUCACCUCUCCCAGACCCUGAUUAAAGCGGGAGCCUUGUGCACUGGGUACGACCUUUUUUUUUAUAAUUAUUUUUGCUUACAGUUCUGUUGUCAUCUGGGAUCCAGUUUGAAAACACUUCUUGAUGCUGCGGAUGAUCCUUUUUGGAGAACAGGAUGGGUGUAUACAAGGGUGCAAGAUUAUGUAGCAUUUACAUACAAUGGUUUGCCUCUCUCUCUCUCUCUCUCUCUCUCUCUCUCUCUCUCCCCCUCUCAUUUCGUGUGUGCGUACACAUUUGUGUAUUUAGGGUCUAUAGAAGAAUCUUGCUGUUUUAGUUUUCCAUUAUGCUUUAUUGAUUUUGGUCAUGCUUUGUUUUGUUAUUUCUAGUACAUAAUGAGGAUUGACCAAAAACAUUAACCUUAUAUGAGAGAAGCAUUUUGAUUAGUUAUGUCCAUCCUGCAGGUGAAGUUGUGUUAGACACACCCUUGCCUCUUAAAAGCAAUAAAAGUUGCAGGAUAUCAUGCAUCAAACCAAUUGCGAUCUCCUUAUCUGAGAGAGCUGAAUUUAUAGUAAAAGGCUUUAACCUUUCUAGUUCCACCACAAGGUUCUUUCAUCUUUCAUUCAUGCGUCAUUACUUUGUUUUCAAUAUUCCUCUCUAGUUUUAUAGGAUAACAGAAGAAAUACUAAAUUCUAGAUCUUGAGUCUUGACAGGUUACUCUGUGCUCUAGAAGGGAAGUAUCUGGCUCAAGAAACUUGUUAUGACUUGUUGGAUGAUGCGGAUAGCACUGUUGAGGAUGACGAACAACAAUGCCUUAAAUUCUCCUGCUCUAUACCAAAUGUUACUGGGCGAGGAUUCAUUGAGGUGCUGUCAUAUUCCUAAUUGUCCCUUUCCCCCUUCCUCCUCUUGUAAUGUGCAUUUUGAACGAGCCGUAUUUUAUAAGUCCGGAAUUUGUUUAUAAAUCUUCUUAUGAAUACUGAGUAUAGAUUUGUUUCUAGACAGCGCCUUAACUGAAAUCCACGGUUCUCAUUUUAUUGGUCAAAUUUAUGUCAGGUUGAAGAUCAUGGUCUCAGCAGUAGCUUCUUUCCAUUUAUAGUUGCAGAGCAGGAAGUAUGCUCUGAGAUUUGUAUGCUGGAAGAUGUGAUUGAGGUGUCCGAGACUGAUGAUGAUAUCCAAUCUGGACCUGAAAAAGUGGAAGCUAAGAACCAAGCCUUGGACUUUAUACAUGAAUUGGGUUGGCUCCUACAUAGAAGUCGCGUUAAGUUUAGACUGGGUCAAUUGGAUCCCAAUCUAGAUACAUUUCCCUUUAGACGGUUCAGAUUGCUCAUGGAGUUCUCCAUUGACCAUGAUUGGUGUGCUGUGGUGAAGAAACUCUUGGGCAUUCUGUUUGAUGGUACUGUCGACGCUGCAGAGCAUCCUUCCCUUGAGUCUGCACUACUGGAUAUGGGCCUCCUCCACAGAGCUGUGCGAAUCAAUAGCAGACGUAUGGUGGAAUUCUUGUUAAGAUUUGUCCCAGGUUUAACAGGAUCUGAGCAGAAGGAACAAGUUGACAGGGACGGCAACAGUUUCUUGUUUAAACCUGAUGUUGUUGGGCCCAUGGGGUUGACUCCUCUUCAUAUUGCCGCCAGUACUGAUGGCUGUGAGCAAGUAUUGGAUGCCUUAACUGAUGAUCCUGGAAAGGUAAUAUCUCCGUUUUUUGAAUUGCAACAUAAUAUUUUUCUUCUAAUUCUAUGUAGAAAUCACUUUGCGCUGGCUACAACCUCCAUCCCAUCUCCAUACCCAUUUGAACUCUUGCGCCUACAGUUGACCUGUGUCUGUUCUCAUACUGUUUCACACACGUGUUUUGAUGAUUUUAACUCAUUCUAAUUUCCAGCAUGUCAGGUUGCUCACGGAUUUUAGAUCUGUAAUCAUGUCUUCUUUGACUUUGAGCUCUCUCUUUAGCUUUUCCACUGUCUUCUGCCUAAACAAAAUACACUGAUUCCAGUUAUUGAGUUGUAUUUCAAAUUCUCAAUUAACCAAUCCUAGACAAAUUAUGCAGUCUUGUAUUUUCUUUGGCUUGCGAAACAUAUGAAACAUAAAUCACCGUAGAAAAGUUAAAUGCGCCAUUCAAAUUGGUAAAGAAAGCAGCACCCCACAUCUAAAUGCAUGCUAACUCUUUCACAGCUGAAAGCGGCACCCAAAUUCUACAUUCAACUUGAAAUCAAAUAGGACUGCUGUUAAAAUUUUUGACGAUAAAUGAAUUAUGAUUCUUUUCAUCGUUCUAGUUUCAACUUUCAAGCAUGUGUUUAGGACUGCUGUCAUGAAAUUUCUUUAGUGUCAGAUAAUCCAUUCAUCAAGUUGAUAUGGGCGUUUUUUUCUUUAGGUGGGAAUUAAAGCAUGGAAAAACACUCGAGACAGCACAGGAUUGACACCAUAUGAUUAUGCAUGCCUUCGAAGCCGCUACUCCUAUGUCCAUAUAGUCCAGCGGAAAAUCAGCAAUACACUGGAAAGCGGGCAUGUGGUGCUUGACAUCCCUGGCCUCACGUUAGACAGAAAUGGAAAGCAGAAGCAAUCGGAUGCGCAUAAAUCAUCAAGAGUAGCCAGCUUGGAAACUGAAAGGAAUGAUAUAAAAGCAAUCUUACGACACUGCAGGUUAUGUGAACAGAAACCAGCUUAUAGCACCACACGGUCACUUGUAUACAGGCCGGCAAUGCUGUCAUUGGUGGCUGUCGCUGCUGUCUGCGUUUGCGUGGCCUUGCUCUUUAAAAGCAAUCCGGAAGUUGUUUUCGUGUUGGAGCCAUUCCGGUGGGAACACUUGAAGUUUGGUUCAAGCUAAGGUUAUAGUUUACGUGUAUUAAUUUAUAGUGACUCUGGUUAUACAUAGACCAUUUCUUUUCACGUGGAUAGGAGUAUAUUUUCUAUCUGAUUUUUAUAUGUAUAUCUAGGGCCACUCAAGCCAACAAGACUCUUCGCAUUGCAAUGGUCGGAACGUCUAUCGUAUCUGUAUUUGUAUACCUAAGCUUCCAAAAUAAACAUGGGCUGUCAUGGAUUUUGGUCCACCAGGUUUGAUUGUAUUUGUAUUUGUAUAACAGUGUUACAAACUGGAUGACACAUAAUUUCUCUGUUUGAUAUUUCUUUUUUUUUUUUCAAAAUAAACAUUUGGCACGAGGUGAUUCGGUGUUCGAUUAUUAGUGCAUUUACUGUAUAAAUUAAAUUUUAAUUUUAGAAAAUUCAGCAUUUUUGUUGGUUAUAUUGGAGGAAAUCGAACUUUGGUCUACUCUAAUUCUAACUUAUUACCAUACCCUCCUCCAUUAUUUGAGCUCAUAUAAGCAUAAGCACACUAAACAAGGUUAAGUAUAGAAGAAUUUGGGAAUUGAGAAUUAUUGUUUGAGCAUUAUUUCAUGUUUAGUGCAAAUUGAGGUUGAAUUAUUUUCUAAUUUUAUUAGUUUAAUCAUUUGGAUGAAUUUGUUCAUGCUUCCAUAUGAAAUCAUUAUUUUAUUAAAAUAAUUUAUUAAUAGUUCGAGAAAAACUUAAAUGGAGGUGCUCACGUCAUUCAUCACGCAUUCACAUUCACAUUCGUUACACGUUUCUCAUAAAAACAUAAAACUCUUUCAAAUGAAUAGGUUUCACUGAAUUUGGAUAAUAUCCGACUUUACAUAAGUACAAGUAUCAAUGCACAUGAUUCCAACCAGUAAUUAUUAUCUUAUUUGAAUUACUUACCCCGAAUCAGACCUGAAAAAGUGUAAUUUAUUCAAAUUUUAUUUUCUGAAAUUCAAAAAAAUAAAAUAAAAUUUGAGGAUAAGAAAAUAAAGGGUAAAGAGGUCAUUUGCAUGCCCUGCCUCCUAAAAUCCACCUCACUACUCACUACCCCGUCACUGCUCUAACAAUUUUGCAGGCCAAAGCCAUCCAUGGCUUCUUCAAUCUCUCUCUCCUUCUCUUCCUCUCUCCUCCCUCAUCCUCUUCCUUUCAACAAAUACUCCACCGCCACCGCCGCCGCCUCCCAGAAAUCCCAAUACCCCAACUUUAAGCUGCUCCUCCGCGCAUUCGCCAACCCAGCUGUAAGCCGUCGCUCCACUCCAUCUCCGUCUUCCGACACCAGAAAGAGGCACUGGAAGAAAGGUGAAUACCCAGGCGUCUCGGAGACGUCGGCUCCGGCGAAUUACAGAAAAACCCCUGGUCGUUCCACUUCAUCUGAGUCUUCCGACACCAGAAAGAAGCACUGGAAGCGAGGUGAGUUCCCGGGCGUCUCGGAGACGUCGACUCCGGCGAAUCACAGAAAAACCCCUGGUCGUUCCACUUCAUCUGAGUCUUCCGACACCAGAAAGAAGCACUGGAAGCGAGGUGAGUUCCCGGGCGUCUCGGAGACGUCGACUCCGGCGACUUACAGAAAAACCUCCGCUCGUUCCGCUUCAUAUCCGUCUUCCGACAACAGAAAGAAGCACUGGAAGCAAGGGGAGUUCCCGGGGGUCUCGGAGACGUCGAUUCCGGCUAUUUAUAGAAAACCCCCUUUGAAAAAUGUGAAGAAGAAGCUGGACCGGAAGAACAAUGCCAAGGCCUGGGUCAACACCGUCACGGAGGCCCUGUCAGACGCCAUUGACAAGAAGCAGUGGCUCCAAGCUCUUGAGGUUUUUGUCUUAAUCUAAACAAAAAUUAACAAAUUUUUCAUCUUUUUUCUUAUGUGUUUUUAGUUUGGUGAAUGUAAAUUGAUGCAAAAUUUAAAAAAAUGGUAUUUUUAUGCUUACCAAUUUAGUUUCUUGAACCAUGUUCUUGAAAAAUGUGAUCUUUUUAGCUGAAUGAUUUUAGUGGAAUUAUAAUUAAUUGGGUGUUUUUGUUUGGAAAAUGUAUGAUGAAAUUGGGUACUAUUACGUUCAGGUGUUUGACAUGCUUAGGGAACAACCAUUUUAUCAACCGAAAGAAGGGACUUACAUGAAACUCAUUGGUAUGCUUGGAAGGUGCGGCCAACCCAAUCGUGCCCGCCAGCUUUUCGAUACAAUGGUUGAAGAGGGCUGUGAACCAACUCUUGACCUUUACACAGCCUUGCUCGCGGCUUAUUGCCGGAACAAUCUGAUUGACGAGGCAUUUUCUGUUCUUAACCUGAUGAAGACUCUCCCGCAAUGCCAGCCUGACGUUUUUACUUACAGUACCUUGAUAAAGGUUUGCAUUGAUCAUUUGAAGUUUGAUUUAGUUGAGUCCUUGUAUGAGGAAAUGGCUGAGCGGUUGAUAGCUCCGAAUACAGUCACCCAAAACAUAGUGUUGAGUGGAUAUGGUAAGGCCGGGAAGUAUGACCAGAUGGAAAAAGUGUUGUCCGGGAUGCUGGAGGGUACAAGUUGCAAGCCUGAUGUCUGGACAAUGAAUGUUGUCCUUAGUGUGUUUGGAAACAAGGGUCAGAUAGAUAUGAUGGAGAGAUGGUAUGAGAAAUUCCGUGAUUUUGGGAUUGAGCCGGAAACUCGCACUUUGAACAUUCUGAUUGGUGCUUACGGGAAGAAAAGGCUGUAUGAUAAGAUGUCAACUGUGAUGGAGUACAUGCGCAAGCUUCAAUUCCCAUGGACAACCGCAACUUACAACAAUGUGAUAGAGGCUUUCGCGGACGUAGGAGAUGCAAAAAACAUGGAAUACACGUUUGAACAGAUGCGUGCUGAGGGCAUGAAAGCAGACACCAAAACAUUCUGCUGCCUUAUUAAUGGGUAUGCCAAUGCAGGCCUCUUCCAUAAGGUGGUUAGCUGCGUUCAGUUGGCUGGAAAGUUUGAGAUACCUGAGAAUACCACAUUUUACAAUGCGGUGAUAGCUGCAUGUGCAAAGGCAGAGGAUUUAAUGGAGAUGGAAAGAGUUUUCAACCGGAUGAAAGAGAAGCAAUGUCAACCGGAUUCCACAACAUACUCUGUCAUGGUUGAGGCAUAUAGUAAGGAAGGUAUGAACGACAAGAUCUACUACUUGAAGCAGGAGAUUGGUACUGAUGGUAAUCAAAGUGAUCAGAUUAGUGUUGAAGAAAAUCAAAGUGAUCAGAUUAGUGCCGAAGAGAAUCAGAGUGAUCAGAUUAGUGUGGAAGACAAUCAGAGUGAUCAGAUUAGUGAUGAAGGCAAUCAAAGUGAUCAGAGUAGUUUUGAAGAUAAUCAAAGUGAUCAGGCUUUUGGAGCUGAGUCUGGCGGUGUUGUCUAGUUGAGAUCUUUGGAGGCAACAGUAUGCUCCAAAAAUCCCUAAUCUCACAGGGCAAUUCCAUUCCCCGCAGUUCUUCUAAGGCAGCAGCAAACUCUUAUUGUGAAAUUGCCGAUCGAUCAGGUAAUCAAACAUUUCCAUUCUCGGAUGGGUGUUAGCAAUGCUGCUUCCUCCAAUUUUAUGUUUCUGGUGAAGGACUGUAUGGAUUGAUCUGAUAGACUGAUAACCCGGGUGAAACUUUAUGGAAAAUGAUUGUACAUACAGAGUUGAUAAGUGUCUCUCUCCAAACUUGAUGCGAUCUCUAAACUAGCAUGCAAAAUUGUACGACGAUUUGUAAGAGUGUUUAACUGUGUUCAACAGAGGAAUUGCUUUUUGUUAUUGCCUGAAAUGUUUUGAAUGUAACUUCACGUAUAUAUUGUCUGCAGCAGCUGCUGGACAAUCAUAGAAGGUGGUCUGUAAACACGUUGUUUUUGAAAAUUAAUCGCUCUUUUCGGUACAUUUUGUGCUGCUGUUGUUCGAAUGUUUUGGCACUUGAGGCAGACAAUUGAUCUGCAAUUAUCCCAAAAUGUAAGGGUCCAGCUCAACAAAACGCAGGGGUAAUUUGAUCAAAGAUGUAAGUUUUGUUAUAUUGACUUUUGAGUAGCAUUGGUAGUGUAAUAAACAAUAUCAGUAACGUUGAAUAAUAAUAAAUUUUACUUGGAUGCCGGCGUGUGUAGUAAGAAUAUGUCCAAAGUGGUUUGGACAACGACAUGAUGGUGCGUUAACUAAUAUGAUCUUAUCACGUGAUGAGAGAUAAAGGAGAGAUGAAUGUAUUCGUGACCUGGAGGUUAUUCUACACGUAAACUUGUAAAGAUAGGCAAACAGGGUGCUUUUUGGUUGAAACGAAAUGCUGAAUUGUUUACUCUUUCUUGUGUAAGAAGAGAAGACUUGUAUCGUAAUCAGGUACUAAUUGUUGUCUUUUGGUCCCACCUUACCUCACACUAUAAAUAAUGGCAUCUAAACCCGAUUAUUCACAGAGAAGCUUUCACAAAAGCAUAAAACUCUUAUAUUUUGGUUUCACUCGCCUCAAACUAGUCUCCCUCGUUGAAAUAGCUAACCUAGUUAGGAACUGUACACAAGUUUCUCUCGUAUCGAAGAAAGUCAAAGAAGUUUUUAGCUCACAAAAGCACAUAACCCCCUAUAUAUUCCAUUUGAAUCACCAUUUACAAAAUUUGUACUAACUUUCCAGUCGAAGAUAGGAUAGUUUCGACAAGUAUUGAACGGCUAAGAUAACUUUAUUUAUUACAUGAAUGGCUAAGAUUAAAAACAAGGGCACGUAGACGAAUACAAACAUCUUCAAUGAGAGGAUCCACCAUUUCUACCAUUGGAAAUUUAAUUUCCUUACAGAAUAGGCGAAAAGUGAAGCGAAAACAAUCGGGAAAGCAAUGAGAACAAUCGCCACGAGGAAUAAACGAUCGUGAUGGAAGCCAUAGUAGUCUUGAAGGAAGGAAGCAACUGUUUUCUGCUCCCCAAAAAUCAAAAUCUCUUUGUUCAUGUCUCCAUAUUGUGAACUGAGGAGGGCAUUUAGGGACCAUGAUGUAGGACAAAUCCAAUAGAACCAAAUCCACCACUUGGGAAUUUUCUGCAUAAAAUAUAUAGAACAUGGUCCGCUAGGCUCACAGUAAACCGUCAUAUUAAGGGUUUAUUUGGCACUGCUUCUUUAGAAAGAACUUUUGCUUAUAAAUUAUAAGCGCUUUUUCUGUAAGUUGUUUAAUAGAGUUAUGUUGCAAAAAAAGCAGUUGGGAGGGCUUCGCAUACUAAAAGCUCUUAAAGUUUUACUACAUAGUCUUUUGGCUUUUCUAGAAGCAGUCUCAAACAGGGCUAAAGACUAAAGAGAGAGUUAGAUUUAGUUACCGGCCCGAGCACAAGGAAGCCGGAAAAAAGAUUCAAUAUGGUGUAGAUUGCCGUUGCGAAAAUGGAAGCUACUUGCAGGCUUGUGCUAAAAGAAGCUAUCAGCAUCCCAAGGUAUACAAAUUAGAGAAAUGUAGAGAAUGUUGCAUGGAAGUACCAGAAAACCUUAGUAGCUGACCAAUAGUACCCUAUUGUAGGGUAUGUAAUAAUGACAUACAGAAUUGCUUGAACCACUUUGUAAGUUAUUUCAAUGGCCACCUACAACAACAUUCAAAAUUUCGACAUGUUAAAAACCUUUCCACUACAAGCUACGUUAUAGUACCAGUUAAAAUGUACGAACCUGUGCAAACGAAUGAGCGUUUGAUGAGUACAUCCCAGCAAAUCUUUCCCGGUACAGAACUGCGCGCUCAGUAGCCACGUAAGGCAGAACCGUCGAGCAAUUGGUUGUGCCCAAAAAUAUUACAGCAAUGUACAGUAACCCAAGCACGUUGAACAAAUCAUGCUCAUUGUUUCUUGAGGAACAAGAAAAACACAGGAUUUAGCGUUGUUGAGCAAAAAUUGUACAUAAUAUGUAAACAAAUAAUUCUCUCGACAUAAUUUCACCCUCGUUCAUUUUUCGAAGAGGGUUUUAUUAGUUUGAGUUUGAUUCAUUCUAGGUUACGCGCCUAUUAAUUACAACCUUUCUUUUGGGAAAGGAAUACCCUUUGAUUCUAAUAUGAAUAAAUCGUAAUUUGAGGAUUUGGGUGUUUAUUUGAUUUUGUGACUGUAUCUAGGUAGAGCCCUAGAUUGCCUACGUACCCUCGUUGAGGGAUCAAAUCACUCGUAGUUCCUUAUGUGUUUUGUUGGGGUUUGACGCCUUGUGCAGUUUCAGCUCAUGCAGAUGAGGAUUUUAAGCCGUUGGAGCUUUAAUAAAUUUGAUAUGGUUUUAUGCCAUUCUGAAAUUUGAUACGGCUUCGUGCCAGUUAACAUAGCUUCGUGCCACUUGAGAUUUUGUUGCGGCUUCAUGCCAUUUGAUAUUUGACUUUUUCUUCGGCUUUACGGCUUCGUGCCAUUGAAUUGGCUUUGAGCCAUUUGAGGCAGCUUUGUCCCAUUUAAAGUGGUUUUAUGCCGCUUAAACGUUGAGUAAAAUUAACAGGUUUAUUUCUGAUAAACCCACUAAUAUUUUGGCAUUUGACUCUGGCUUGGUACCAUUUCUUACUCCAUGUUUAAUUUUACUUUUCCUUUUUCGUUUGCCCUUUCUUCUGACAAAUUUGUAGAGAAUCAUGCUUGGAAUAAAAAAAAAAUUUCCUCUGUUCCUUCAUGGGAUUUACUCCACAAGGGUUUUGUUCAAAGCAGCAGAAGUGAAUUUAGUUUAUACAAACCAGGGAUUCAUCUUGAUUUCUUGGUUGCGUCUAAAAUUUGAUAUCAGACUGCCUACGUAUCCUUAACGGAAUCAAACCGGCGUAGUUCGUAACUUUUGAGACUCAUCGCGGCUUUGUGCCAUUUGAUACUUGAUAUGGAUUCGUGCCAUUUGAAGUUUGACGGAGCCUUGUGGCAUUUGUGUCUUGUAAAUAUUUGUGAUGAACCCACUUUUACAUUGGUAUUUGACUUUGUCUUCCUUUUCAUUUAUUUUGUCUUGGAACCCAUUUUAUUUUGCCUACAAGCCCGUCACUCUAUUGUUGCCCUUUAUUUUUUUGCAUGGUAGCACAAAAAAAAUCCUUGCUUUCAUAUGGAAAAUAUAAAAGCAAGAGUCAAAGCUCCUUUAUUUUUACCAAUGCCUUUUUCAAGCUUUUAAGUCCCUUGCUUUUCUUCUUUCUUUAUUUUUCUUUUGUCAUUGCCGUAUGUCUCCCUAAGAACAACUCCACUUUUGGAGCCCUUUCUCCAUGCAAUCCACUAUUCAAUCCACCAUGUAAACAGUAAUUACCCUUAAUAAACAGUAACUACUUUUGUAUCUCAACCCUUGCACUUGAAUACCCUUGGCAAUAGGCAAUAAAAUAUUAAUUUUUAUAAUUAAUAUUAUAUUAUUUAAUUUGUACAAAUUAAUAUUAUAUUAUUAAUUUAUCUUUUCCAAUCUCUUCCCGAAACUUCUACCAUUUUUGUUUUCUUCUUCCUUCCCACUCUCUCACUCCCCUCUCCCUCAUUGUCUUCUUUUUUUUCUCCGGCCGACAGUCUACCUCCCCUCUCUCUUUUUCUCCCCCAUUUCUCCCUGUUUUCUUCCUCAAACGAGGAAGCUGCGAAUUUUGAGAGAGAGCAGCACCGAACCCACCCGCCUCCCGCCAUGUCUAAAUCCACUGAUGUGUCUUUCUUCCUCCUCAUGGUCCUCUGCGGCCAGGCCCAAAGAGGCCGCCUGCUUCUUUCCGACUUCAACCAAUCAACGUCAUCCGAUCUGAUCUCCGAUAGAGUCCACCACCACCACCGGUCCCACACCCUGGCUCCCUACCUCACUCUCGAGAACGCCCUUUCGGCGGAAGACUCCACCUGCAAGCAGACCUACGUUUUCCUGCCUUGCACCACCACUGUGAUCGACAACCUUUCCUAAUUCCUGACAGAAAAAAAUUAAAAAAAAGGACUGACGCCAGCCUGACGUCAGCCCCUACUCGGGCUGGCAAUUCCUCAUAGACCCUUUGCUCGGGCCUUGGCUGCUGCUUGGGCUUGCUCACGCUGGAGCUGGUCGACAGGGCCUUGGGCUCUUUCUUCUCCCCCCGUCCCUCGAGCAGGAGCUUCCGCUAAAGCUGCUCUAAUGGUUCGAAGAUGAUGGAAUCCAAUUUGAAAUGGCACAAGUUAAAUUUCCAUAAAGAACUCCCAUAACUUUAUUGACCCCUACGUGAGCAACUUUCCAUGUGAGGUGCUGAUUUCAGUUAGCAUUCUUCUUUGAUCUUUUCAAACCCAUUUAAACAUGGGACUUCGAACCUAUCUGACCUAAACUUCUGACCAAUCUGAGAGCAAGCCUUACUCUUUUCUUUGUUUGACUUCAAAGGUCUCCAAAUUCCAAUAAGACUUUAUCCCAUACUUUAAAUGGGGGAACCAUGACUUUCUUUUGUCUUCCACGACUUUCUUUUGUCCUCCACGUGAGUGGUUUUCUUGCUAUGAAGUAAAAGAAGACCACAUCAACAUUUUUUUAACUUUACUUUUGAUUUGACAAAAGCUUUUUGGUCUGGAACUCUUCUUCUCUCCUUAUGAGUUUUAAACAUUUUUUUUUCUUUGUCUUCAACCUUGAAUUUAGCUUUGCCCAACAUUUGACAAUAACUUACUUCAUCUUUGAGGUGCCACGUAUUUAGCCUUUUUUAAAAAAAACAAGCACUUUCUUUUGAGUUUUCUGUUUCCUGCAUGGAUUUGUCUUCACAGGGGUAAAACUAGUCUUCGACUAAAAUCACGAAUCAUCUUUUGCUUGUUGGAGAUUUUUUCUUCAAUUCCUAAUUUAAACAGGAAUUUGAAUGAAACUUGGUCAGUGGCAACUAGCGCCUAUUCUUCUUUGGCUGGGCUUUCUUUGGGUUUCUGUCUCAAUGAAGAACGCCAAAAGUUUUUGAAGAAGACCAUGGCCCGUCGACCGACAGAAGCUUCGGGACCAUAGCUGGGCAUGUUGGGUUCUUGUUCUCCACUUGUUCAAAUGUGCAGAGUGACGGCUUAUUCUCCGUUGCAUCUCUGAAAAGAGGAAGGGAGAUGUCGAAAACUUCUUUAGACACCCAAGAGGCUACAGGAGGUUGUGGGAAGACGAUUUGCUGCUGUGUUUUGAUGAAAUCUCCGUUGGACAUCACAAGUUGCAGGGUGUCGAUGAUGUUGAAGACAUGGCGCAGCUGCUGUCUCUGUUUGGGCUUCCGUCUAACGUCGGCGGUUUAUUGCAAUGUUGCCUUCAUUAGCUAUUUCACACCGCUGCCAUCUUCUUGCUCAAACCUUCGUCAAAUUUGUUGAUGGUCUGGACUGGCGUGCCCAACUACGUCACCUGGUUUCAUCACCUUCGGAUCACGAACUGCACUGCCCUUGGGCUUCUUCCGGAGGACUGACAGAGACGACGGUUGAAAAAUGGUGGUGUUGCCGUAGUGCAGUGAUCACCUAGACCUGGUUGGAACUUCACGGGGUGGUUUAGACCACCCCGAAGAAAUUCAUGGGACUGGGGAUGGGAGAGAAACAAAUUGUUUUUUUUUCUUCUUGCAAAGCCGAGAGAAAGCAUACAAAGAAAGAUUUAGAAGGAUAGAUUUAUACCUUUAAAUGCUUUGUAGCAUUUCCUGCUCUUUGUUCUUGCGGGUAGCACUUGAUAUCUUCUUCUUUUUUCUUCUUUUGUUUCUCUUUUGCCUUUGCUCUCUUGCUUUGCCUCUCAUUCUCUGUUGUCUUCAUUGCGCUUUUCUGUCUCUCAAUUUUUGCAGAGUACCCUUGUCUUUUUUUUUUUUUUUUCUCUUGCUGUAGUUGAUGCCUAUUUAUAGGCAUCCCAAGUAAAGGAUGAUACAUUCCUGAUCUCUUGGGAUUGUUUCCUGUUUCAUCAUGAUUUCCAGAUUUCCCUGUUUUAUUAAAACAUUCCCCUUAUGUAUUCUUUGUAGAUUAAUUAUACUUGUAAAUCAAGUCAUUGUACACUAUUUAAAUCAAUGAUAAUGCACCCUCUAGGGCAUCGAGGGAUUGAGCCAAAAUACCUUCUUUUGAGUUAUCUUUUAUGGUACUCAGAGCCAGUGACUAACGUCUUUUUUUUCUUUUCGGAUUCUUCCUACUCUUCUCCAUGGCUGCCUCAACCAGUUCGACUACUCCUUCCUCCGACAUCUUCCCUUCUGUUUCUCAUGCGAUCUCCAUCAAACUUGACUCUUCCAAUUAUCCUCUUUGGUUGGCUCAGUUGCUACCUGUUCUUCGCAGUCGUCAAUUGUUGGCUUUUGUUGAUGGUACUUCCAUCUGCCCCUCGGCGUUCUUGUCCGACGAUACCGGCAACGCCUCUUCCAAACCCAACCUCGCGUAUGCUGACUGGGUUCAGAAGGACCAGCUUGUUCUUUCUUGGAUCAAUGGCUCUCUUGGUCACCAGGCCCUCGCCGCCACUGCUCGUCAUUCCACUGCCCGUGAUGUUUGGGUUGCUCUUCAGCAGCGUUUUGCUUCUACAAACCAAAGUCGCAUUCUUCAGCUUCGUACUGCUUUCUUCCAGACCAAACGAGGUGAUUCUUCAAUUUCUGACUUUCUUGAUAAGAUCAAUGGUAUUGCCGAUCAAUUGGCCCUUGCCGGGGCACCUGUUUCUGCUGAUGACAUGGUGCCGGUCGUCAUGUCUAAUGUCGGCCCCAAAUUUGAGAACACUGUUGCUGCUGCUCAGGCCCGUGACAACCCCAUCUCCCUUUCUGAUCUUGAGGCUCUUCUUCUCGUUGCUGAACUCCGCCUUGCUGAUCCUCCUGCUCCGCCGGACUCCAGCGUCUCGGCCCUGGUAGCCUCCCGCGGCUCUUCUGCCUUUCAUGGCCGCUCCUCUUCUGAUCGCGGCGGCGAUCGUGGCUCUGGCCGUUUCUCACGUGGGGGUGGUCGUCCUCAACAUGAUGGGUCUCGCAACAAUGGUGGUGACGGCUAUCGUGGCUAUCGCGGUGCUGGUGGUUUCCAUGAUCGUCCGUUUCGCGAUCGUGGUGGUGGUCGUCCUCAGCACGAUGGCUCUCGCUUCCGUGGCUCCAACAAUGCUUCUGGGGUUCUUGGUCCAGCCCCAUAUCACGGUUCCUCCCGUCCUCGCUGCCAUAUUUGCAAUACUUUUGGUCAUGGUGCUCUUGACUGUGCUCAACGUCUUAAUUUGGCUUAUGAAGGUCGUCCUCCUUCUUCCCGUCUCACUGCCUUGACUGCUCAGCACUCCCAGCCUUGGCUCAUUGAUUCCGGGGCAAACUCGCAUAUCACCAAUGAUCUCAAUACUUUGUCUCAGUCCCGUGAUUAUCGUGGUGGUGAUUCCGUCGGUGGUGUCGUUGGCGGUACAGGUUUGCCCAUUAACCGUAUUGGCUCCUCCACUCUCUCUCAUAAUAAUAUUUCUUUCAAGCUUAAUGAUGUUCUUCAUUGUCCGGAUGCUUCUACUUCUGUGUUGUCUGCUAAUCGGUUUAUGUUGGAUAAUAAUUGUUAUAUUACAUUGUUUCCUUCUUGUUUCUAUAUUCAGGAUAUGGAGACGGGGACGAUUCUUUUUUCGGGCAAGAGUAGCAAUGGCUUUUAUCCCUUUUCCUCUUCAUCACCGACUGCUCAUGGUCGUGCUGCUUUUCUUGGUGUUCGUGUUGGUAGUGAUGUCUGGCACUCUCGUUUAGGCCAUCCAUCUUCUUCCAUUUUAAAAUUUCUUUUUUCUAGGCAUUCGAAUAAGUUGCCUGUUUCUGGCAACCUCAAUCUCAAUACUUUUAUGUGUCAUUCUUGUCCUUUAGGCAAAAGUGUUAAGUUACCUUUUUCUGCAUCAUUGUUUGUUACUCAAGCUCCUCUUGAGCUUAUUCACUCCGACGUGUGGAGUGCGUCCAAUAAAUCUGUUAGUGGUUUCCAAUAUUAUGUUCUUUUUGUUGAUAAUUUCUCUCGUUAUUCUUGGAUUUAUCCCAUGAAAUUGAAAUCUGAAGUCUUUAAUAUUUUUACUCACUUUAAGACCUUGGUUGAAAAUCAAUUCUCCACUAAAAUUAAGAUGUUUCAGUCCGAUGGUGGGGGCGAAUACACUAGUCACCAAUUCAAGAAUUUUUUUCUUCACCAUGGUAUUCAUCAUCGUCUCUCAUGCCCUCACCAUCCCGAACAAAAUGGUUUGGCGGAACGCAAACAUCGUCACAUUGUCGACACUGGACUUACUUUAAUGGCCCAUGCGUCGAUGCCUCCUGCCUAUUGGGCUAAGGCCAUGCACACAGCAGUUUAUCUUCUCAAUCGCCUCCCCUCUAAAGUACUUGGUUUUAUGUCUCCUUAUCAAAAGUUGUUUCUUAAGGAACCUGAUUAUAGUUUUUUAAAGACCUUUGGGUGUGCAUGUUUUCCCCACCUACGACCCUAUAAUAAUAAUAAACUCCAGUUUCGUUCUACUAAAUGUGUUUUUCUUGGUUACUCUCUCAAUCAUCAAGGUUCUCGGUGCUUAGACAUCUCUACUAACCGCAUCUUUUUAUCACGCCAUAUUGUGUUUGAUGAAGGUAAUUUUCCUUUCAAGGCCAUCUCUGGCUCUCUUGCCCCAUCCUCCCCGGCCUCGUCUCCUCCUCCUGUUUUAGAAAUCACUGGGCCUCUUCCGCAUGCCCCCCGACCGUCUAGCAGCCAACCGGUGGUUGUGUCCCCCUCUUUGGAGACUCAUCAAUCCAGUCCAUCAUCCGACCCACCACAGCCGGCCCUACAGGUUUACUCCCGUGACCCUCACAGGCGGGUUCUUUCUUUUGCACAAGCAGCAACCCCAUCUGUCACUCCCAGGCCCACGCCUGCUGUUGCCUCUGCAGUUCAACCUGAUGCGCCUCCCGAGGCUCCAUCUGCUGCUGUACCACCUGCCGUGCCCUCUACUUCCCAUGGUAUGCUCACUAGGUCCAAAACGGCUUCUCUUAAGCCUCAUAAAUAUGUUUUUUCUGCUGCCAUUUCUUCUUCUACCGGUCCUAUUGAGCCUACUUGUUUUAGUCAGGCCAACACUUUUCCCGAAUGGCGUACUGCGAUGGCCGAUGAAUUUAAUGCACUUCAACGUGCUGGUACUUGGACUCUUGUUCCUCGUACCGCUUCUAUGAAUAUUUUGCCAAACAAAUGGGUGUUUCGUAUUAAACAGAAUUAUGAUGGGUCUAUUCAGCGGUAUAAGGCUCGUUUGGUAGCCAAUGGUUUUCAUCAGCAACCCGGCCUUGAUUAUGGUGAAACUUUUAGUCCUGUUGUCAAUCACUCUACUAUUCGCUUAAUUUUGGCUCUUUCAGUUCAGUUUCAAUGGCCUGUUCGUCAGUUGGAUGUUCAGAAUGCUUUUCUUCAUGGCUCUUUGUCUGAGGAGGUCUAUAUGCACCAACCUCGUGGCUUUGUUGAUCCACAGUUCCCUCAUCAUGUGUGCCGCCUUCGUCGUUCUUUAUAUGGGCUCAAGCAGGCGCCCCGUGCAUGGUUCCAAUGUUUUUCCACUCAUUUGGAAGAUUUGGGUUUUCGUCCCUCUACUGCGGAUCACUCGCUUUUUACCUAUAUUCAUGGCUCUACUCGCAUUUAUCUCUUAAUUUAUGUUGAUGAUAUUUUGGUCACCGGGAAUAAUCCCUCAUAUUGUCACCCUCAUUAAGAAUUUGGGCAUCCGUUUCUCUAUGAAGGACCUUGGACCGGUUCAUUAUUUCUUAGGCAUGGAGGUGGUCCGCACUCCAUCAGGUCUCUCUCUUUCCUAACAAAAGUAUGCCACUGACCUACUUCACCGCACCAAAAUGCAUGGUGCUAAGCCGGUUCCUACUCCUGCCGUUAGUGGGCGACGGCUCAGUCUUCAGGAUGGUGACCCUCUGCCGGAUCCUAUUGAAUACCGAAGUGUUGUCGGCGCCCUUCAAUACUUGACUCUCACUCGUCCCGACAUCAACUUCGCCGUCAACCAAGUCUGCCAAUUUCUUCACCAGCCGACUUCUACUCAUUGGGCCGCCGUCAAACGCAUUCUUCGUUACCUUGUCGGCACUACUUCUCACGGUCUUACCUACAAGCCUGGUUCCUUUCGUCUUACAGCAUUUUCCGAUGCCGAUUAUGCCGGGAUCCUGAUGAUCGGCGUUCCACCGGGGGCUAUUGCUUGUAUCUGGGUUCCAAUCUUGUCUCAUGGAGUGCCAAGAAACAAAAUGGGGUCUCUCGGUCCAGCACUGAAGCCGAGUAUCGUCAACUUGCAAUCACCGCUGCCACUCUUUCAUGGUUUCGUAUGCUGUUCCGUGACCUCCAGUUUCCUCUACAUUGUCCUACACUGUUUUGUGACAAUAUCAGUGCUAUAUCCCUUGCUUCCAACCCGGUGUUUCAUGCCCGCACUCGGCAUGUUGAGGUGGAUUACCAUUAUGUUCGUGAAAAGGUUGUUCGCAAGGAGAUUGAUGUUCGUUAUCUUUCUACUCAUGAUCAGAUUGCUGACUUCUUCACCAAGGGCCUUUCUCUUCCUCGUUUUCGACUUCUGGUUUCCAAGCUUCCUGUACUUGAUUGUACUGUCAGCUUGCGGGGGCGUAAAGGAUGAUACAUUCCUGAUCUCUUGGGAUUGUUUCCUGUUUCAUCAUGAUUUCCAGAUUUCCCUGUUUUAUUAAAACAUUCCCUUUAUGUAUUCUUUGUAGAUUAAUUAUACUUGUAAAUCAAGUCAUUGUACACUAUUUAAAUCAAUGAUAAUGCACCCUCUAGGGCAUCGAGGGAUUGAGCCAAAAUACCUUCUUUUGAGUUAUCUUUUCCCAAGAAGGCUCUAGAAUUUGUUACGUGGGGGAAGAUGGAGACCAUGACCUCCUGCCACUUUCUGUUAACCCCCUUUUCUGACUCCACGUUUCUUUUUGUUGCAGAAAAUGGGGGAGCACCUGUUUUUUGCACGUUACUUCCCCCCUUAUGUAGGAAAAAAAUUAUAAAUUUUUUAUUUAUUCCUGAAUGUAUUUGUAUGUAAAGCUCAUCCUCAUCUUUUGGGUUGGAUUACAUUUUUGUUUUACCUUGAAGUUUGACUCAAUUUGAAUGGACUUUAUUUUUUCAUAUUUUUUUUGUUCAACAAGCGUAGUUUUCUUUUUCUUUUUCUCUGUGAAAUAUAUAGUAUGAAGAGGGUGGAAAUGGGUCGGGGCUUACAUUUCCUUCACUUUCUGCCAAAAGAUUGUUCCGAACCACACUGAUAGAGCGAAAAUAAACGCGAAACGUGCUAGAUUGUACUUUGGACUUCUCCAGUGGGACAAGUGUUGUUUCCACAGACAUGCCUUAAACUGCACCCAGCUAUUUUGAGCAAAAGGAGUGGGAAGGUUCAAGCCCCUUGAACCCGGCUUUGGUUCGCUCAACCGGCUAACCAACUCGACCGUGUCUCUCUGAAAAAGAAGGAAACAAACAUAUAAAUUUGAUGAUUGAAAUAAAUACAUGAUUAAUCCUAAAAUAAUGGAAAUAUUAGAGAUAUGCCCUUACCUAUACUGAGUAGAGGGUUUAUAAAUUUCAGCAAAAUCUAAACAAAGUUUUGCCUCUACUGAGGCAGAAGUAACUUCUAACAUCCAAGUUGCUGGAUUGUAAUUUUCUUUGAUCUUUGGUACAUCACGAAUAUCCUCAAAAUAUUUGACGAGUUUACUCGAGUGAUGACCGAGAACUCCAGAAUAGAUGAUUUGGCCUCCCCUUUUCAUCAAAAGUAACUGCAAAAAUCAAUGUCUUCCGUUAGUGAUCGAGUGGCUUUUAUGAUUUGGUUUAGUUUUCUUGGACUCCAUGACAAUGCUCGUUAUACUACCUCGUCAAAUGACUGAAAAAUAUCAAUGCUUGGCUUGUGGAUUGUGCAAACAGUUGUCCUUCCUGUGGAAACAACAUUCUUUACUACGCAAAUGGCAAUUGCAGCUGCUCUGGCGUCUAAGCCUGACGUAGGUUCAUCCAUAAAUAUUAUUGAUGGGUUGGAUACAAGCUCCACUGCAAUUGUUAGCCUUUUGCGCUGUUCAGUAGAUAGGCCAGUUUGUCCAGGAAUGCCAACUAAGGAAUCUCUUAUAUCCUCCAGUUCAAUCGUUUGAAUGACUUCCUCCACAAAUUUCUGCAUAGAUUAAGCAAAGGAUACUUUCUUUUAUAUGUUCCAGGAAAUUUGCAUAUUAUUGAUAAAUUGAAAGAAUAUCAUCCUACAGCUUUUAUGUCUGGAUCAGUUUCGUGUGGCAACCUCAACCAAGCUGAGAACAUAAGCGAUUCUUCUACCGUGAUCUGUGGAGAAUGUAUAUCAGUCUGCUCGCAGUAUCCUGAUAUUCUUGCAAAUGUCUUCUGGACCUUGGGGUACCCUCCGAUUCUUAUAUCUCCCACGAUACUACCUCCUGUUUCCCUUCCAGAAAGAACAUCCAUGAGAGUUGUUUUUCCAGCCCCAUGCGGUAGGAAUUCCUGGACUGAAUGCUCCUGUUAUAUCUUUAAGCAACUGAAGCUUUUUCUCCUUGAAAGCAUGCUGUCUCAUUUCCUUUUUUAAGAAGGAAUGAAGUUAAAAUACAACUAAAUAGUUUUCCAAUGAUACUAAUAUGUGAAAAUUGACUAAUGAUUUGAUUAAUUACCGGAGGUGUAUCAACAUAAUACUGCACGUCCUUAAAUGAGAUUGUCAGUGGCUCGAACGGCAGGACCAUUCUCCCUGUUUAACAAAUUGAUUUACUCUCGAAUAAUUCAGUUGUUAAAAAAAUUCCUUGCUCGUUGCUUUGAAUGGAAAAUGUGAAACUGAUAACCCGGAUAAACUGGAUGCAACAAUUCAUCUCACCUAGUGUUAUCUUUUCUCCCAUGGUUUUGAAUAAAUCGGAUAGAGUUGAUUCAUUUUCCAACGGUGCACCAGUUUGGGUUAAUAUUUAACAUUGGGCUUAUAGGAGAGAAAGCCCAAAAGAGUUCAAUAAGAAGAGUUUCGUCCGAAGCCCAGCACCAAGCCCAGACCGUCCAUCUCAAGACCAAUUGGCACUCUCCUAUUAAUGCAAAGGCUAAGUGCUUACAAGAGAAGUGACAACUGAUGAAAAUCAACCUACUCUCAGCCCAAAAGUACUUUUCAGUGGCAAUACAAGUAAAAUAUUGAUGAGUCACUACCAUUCAAUUGCUUUUGGGUAAGAACAAAGCUACAAGCGGUCGGACUAAUUCGUUUAUAAAAGGAGGAAGAGGGCUCAGAGACAAGGACACUCAAUCAAUCAAACAUACAACUUGUCUCUCAUCCAAGCAAAUACCCAGAAAGCUGUGCUUUGUCCAGACUCUGCACCCUUUUAGCCUUAGAUUUCCUUAGAAAGACAUCUUUUUUCUAUGUAAAAGCUCUGCUACAUUUUUCUAAAUGUUGUAGUAUCGAUCCCUCGUGUAUAAACUCGUUUCCAGUCAUCUCCUUUAGUACUCAAUUCUUUUGUAAACUGCAAAGAGAAGAGAUCGCAAGGCGUUUAACCUUGCUUGACAAAGUGAAAUCUUGCCCAACUCUCUUUGUUUUUAUCUUUCAAUUAACAAAUAUGGUGUUAUAAUGUAUUCCGUAGUUUAUAUUCAAGUUAUUUCCAGUCCUUUGAUGACCCAAAGCCCCAUCAGUUCUCAGAUCUGGUUCACUUAGUGGUUUUAUCAAGAAUUGAAAUGAAUUAAACUGAUGACUUGAUCAGAUCUAAGCCUUCACCCCUCAAGCAUACAAAAUAACUAAAAGUCUUUGAUCUCAAGGCAUAGAAAAUAACUUAAUGUAGACUUAAUCCAUCUACAACAAUCCUUUGAUAAACAAGAAGUCAGAAAUAACUUGGGGUGCAAGUAAUCGGCUUAAAACACACUUGUUCUACAUCUGCCAUACAGAGAUGGCAGUGGCACGCCUAAGCACCUAGUUAGUUUUGAAUGCGAGCCUCAAGGCCUAUACCUAAGGCCCCACAAAGGCACCUUUCAGAACUAACUUUGUUUUCCUCUUGCAGUAUUGUGACAAGCAGGAGCCCAACAAUCAACCAAAGUGCCAACUCCUCGGGCAGCUGUGUGCUCGAGCCAGGAACGCCCACCAACCAGAUUUCCUGCCCAAAAAGCACCAGUUUUGCGAGCUCCCCUUCUUCAAAGUUGAGAUAAUCUUUUUUUCGAAACAAUAGCCCGAUACACCUUUGGAGCUGUAUGAGGAAAAGCUUAAGUAAACUGAUGUGGAGCUGUAUGAGGAAAAGCUUAAGUAAACUGAUGAAGUGGAUUGUAAUACUUAAGUUAUCAUCUGUCAAUUAAAAUGAAUCUAAGUAAGUUAAUGCUAAAAUAAAUCCAAGAUCAGACAGCAUUGUGAACCCGAGUAAUGCUCCUACUGAUAUCCAAUAGAAAUAGCCAUCAAAGUUCAAACCAUGCCUGGUUAGAACUUUAUUCCCUAGGGUUGUGUUUCCCUCUGAGACCUAAAGAAAUGAAUUAACACUGUCAAAACACUUAUUCGACUUCGAUGAUCGGGUACUAAAAAAGUUUAUCAUCUUGAGUUGUACCUUUUGCCAGCGAGGAGCGAGGAACUCGUUUAGAGUUGUACCGAUUUCCCCAUAAGUCAUAGGUGAACACCAGAAUAGUCAACGCAACCAAGGAGGUAAAGAGGCUGCAAAACACCCCUUAUUAGUCUAGUUGUAGUUGAAUGUAACUAAAGGAAAAAUACGAUAAAUGGACUUACAUCGUGGCAAGAUGAAGCCUCCGGAUAAAAACAUUAGCACUAGGAUUAAAAUACCGCAAGUUGAUGCAACAACCAUAGUUUGGAAAACUACAGCAAUUAAACGACAUAUGGAUGUCGAUGCUUGAUGGAGAGCAAAUAGCACAAGGAACUGGAAGAAGAACCUAAAAACCAUAGCAUAUUCUUGAGGCAUUAUUAUGAUUAUUGUUCAAGCCUUUCAUGUUCUGUCGUGUGACUAUAAAGUUGAGAUCUUACGUUUUUAUGUCUGGAGCGUACCCAAUCAAAUGGUAAGUUAUUGCUGUCCACAGCAGUGAAUCAAUCACUGAAAAUGGAACCUUCAGGAUAGACUGGAAGAGAAUACGCCCAUGCUGGAUACAGAUUGAAUCCUCUUUGCUUGUAAACCACUGGUAAUCUAGUAACAGUCACAGCUCUGCAAUUCCGUUGGUCAUAAGUCGAAUAAGUGUAUAAAACAAUGAGUUCAUAAAAAAACUUGCAUUUAUCAAAUCCACGGUCCUACGGGUGCUUAUACAGAUUGCCAUUGUAAUAAAUGCAGUGAUGACAAGCUGUGGGAAAAAAAGAGAGAAAAUAUAGUAAGUGAUUUUGAGUUUAACUUCAGAAGUACAACCCCUAAAAGUGAUAUCAUUAGGCAGUAAACCUGAGCUGUUUUGAAUACGUAGAGAAAGGAAUUCCGUUUCAUGAGAAGAAGCUCUCGGGCCAUACAACCUUUGAACAACUCCCAUUUGCUCACAGAGUAAGUACUAAAUGAUAAGGCAUUAUCAUGGCACUGUGAUUUAUUGUAUGGUUUUGAGAGCUCAUCGUCUAAUUUCUUCCCCGAGUAACUUGCUCUGAAAAGUUCAAAAAAUUUGUUUGCAGAAACAUGACCGUAGGGAAUGUUAUCAUGCUUCCAGUAUUGUGCUUGAUCCUUCUUUGAGAUCACCUCUUGAAGGAAAUCUGCAGCACCCUUUCUUGGUGGGCACUUGAAACCAGAGUCUUCGAAAAACUCAACUGCGUGGCUGCGAUGACCGUGGUAAACUAUCUUCCCCUCUGCCAUUAGUAUUACAUCAUAAAAAAUAUCAAUGGUCUCGGGUGCUGGUUGGAGAAGUGAUACCAAUGCAGUUGUAUCUGUGAUAUGCACCAGCUGCUGAAGAUAGGUAACUAUCUGAAAGGUUGUAGAACUGUCUAAUCCCGUUGAUAUCUCAUCCAUAAAAAGAGCUUUUGUAGGACCUACAAUCAUUUCUCCUGAAGAUUAAACAGAAGAGGAAUGUUAUGUUUGAAACAUUUUUCUACAUGGGAAUUAGUAAUUACAUUCAAAUUUCCCUCGGAUUCAAGAUUUCACUACCGGUUGUCAGCCUUUUCUUCUGGCCACCAGAAAUGCCUCUUCUUAAUGCAUCACCAACCAUUGUGUCACUCACUACACAUACCCAGUCCAAGUAUCUAAAGAGAUUCCAAAAUAUCGUAAUUCAUUUUUCCUGUCCGAGUGAGUUAGAAAUGUCACGUUUGAACUACUUAAUGUCAGCAUUGUCCAUGUCCAACACUGGUUGGAGAAAAAUUUACCUUCAAAACAUAAUCGGUUUGGAGAUUUUCCCUUUGUCCUUCAACUGAAAUGGCCUGUGAGUAUUAUGUAAAUCUCUAAAACCUCUAACACAAAAGGGUGGUAAGAUUUACUAAAAGGAAUGUUAUGAGACUUUACAAUUACCUUCAUGUAGGUGUCAAUAUCUGGAUCGGGGACUAUUCCUGCUUCUUUUUCCCUUCUGCUGAGCUCCAUUAUUAUAUAUGCAUAAAAUACGAUCGAAAUUAAACUUCAUACGUCAAUAGAAGUACACGACUAACCCAAUAGUAAAUGCAAUAGGGGAUAAGGAAUAUGCACCAGCUCUACUGCCAACACCCUGGCAGCGGGAGGAAAAGUCAAUUGUUUCCCUCAGUCAUCUCAGGCAGGUGAAGGUCAUGCUGGCUAAUGUAAGCUGAUGUUUUUUGGGGAACAAACUCAUCUAGCUUGUAACCAUUAUAAGUGUUGUAAACUGAAAUAGAAAGGAACGAAGUUACCUAAAAAAAUGUAGAAGCCUUGAGUGGUGAAUGAUUAUUGGGAUGAGUUGCGGACUAAGUCGCUUUCUUUAAGACGUUUCGCGGCUCUACCCAAAGUGUGCAAGCAGUUCACAAACACCACAUCGUCCUAGGAUAAAACAGCCCAAAACCUUCUUCUUCUUCUUCUGAUAAAGUUCUUCCUUGUACAGUAGAAGAACCUUCGAAUUCACAUUCUCUCAAUAUGUUGCUAACCAAAACUAUAUAUUAGAAAAUAUAUCUUCUUUUUUUUCCGCAUACUUUCAAUGAUCCAGGGACUACUAUAUAUACAUUUAGACGAAAGAGAUGUUGAGGGUUUGAGAAAAUUGAAAGCAGGACAAAAUCAAAACGUAAGUCAAAUAAAACGGUUUGAUUAUGUAUCAUGACAUGAUCUUCUUCUCUAUACAAAGAAGGAAUGGCACGUUUCAAACUUAAAAGGAGAUAACUCCUUACCUAAUUGAAAAGUCAAAAUCAAUUGGCAGUUAUGCAUAGAAUAUUGGUAAUAAAACAAAACGUUAUGUAUAUAAUAUUGGUAAUAAAAUAAAACAUAAAUAUAUUUAAAUAUUUAAAUAAAAACAUAUUUACUCAACAAUCCCCCACUUGUUUUUGUUUAAAACUAUACAUCAAGCAAUAUAUCGUAAAGCUAUACAGAAGUAAAUGUGUUUCUCAACUUAAAUCUAUACAUAGUGUUAGUGAUCGAGAUUAUACUAGAGUAACUUAUAGUUUUGAACUCUAUCCCUAACAACACCACACACACAACUUUAUUAAGGUGAAGUUCAAAAAGCCAGCACAUUACAACCAUGUGCUUGUAUCCCAGUAUAGUGAACGCUCUAGAAACUUGCUCAAGAUUUCAUAGGAAGCGGCAUCACUUCCACAUUCACAUAGUUAAGACUAUCAAGGUAUUCCUGUAGCUAGAUAUCUCACUUAACAUAGAGUAUAGACCUUACUAAGAGAAAAAAAAAUCUCAACCUAAAUACGCUUCAGGAUGUCAUGCUUCUUAGGGAUGGACAUGGAAUAAUAUUCCAAACUAAAAUUAGCAAGACUUCACUCUUAUCACUUGUGACUUGUUAUUACCCUUUGAACCUAUUUCUUGGGAUCUCUAGUCUAUAGGUUGGGUUGCUAUCACAAAUAACUCAAUUCUCUAGGGCUUUAGUCCCAUCCCUUUCGAGGUUUUCCAAACCUUUUCUCGUGCUAGUCCUUUUGUCAAAGGAUCAACCAAGUUUUCUUCAUACCGUAUAUGAUCCACUCUCACAGCUCCAUUAGACAGGUAAUCUCUUACAGUGAUGUGCUUACGACGUAUUUGUCGCCCUUUCCCAUUAUAAUAAUGAUUUUGCACUUUAGCUAUUGCCGAUGUGCUAUCACAAUGGAUCAAAACUGCUGGAAUCGGUUUCUCCCAUAAAGAGGUAUCUGACAGUAGGUUUCUCAACCAUCCUGCUUCUUCGCUUGUCGUAGCUAGCGCUAUUAAUUCUGACUCCAUAGUGGACUGAGCCAUGAUAGUAUGUUUCUUAGACUUCCAUGAUACAACCCCACCACCAAGACUAAAAAUACAUCCACUAGUGGCUUUAGAGUCAUCUGAAAGGGUAUUCCAAUCAGCGGCACUGCAACCUUCUAGGACAGCGGGAAACUUCUCAUAGUGUAAUCUAAAAUUCAUUGUCCUUUUAAGGUAUCUCAUAAGCCUAUCUAUGGCAUGCCAAUGCUCCAAACUAGGUCUACUAGUAAACCUGCAUCAAACUCCUACGACAUAAGAUAUAUCAGGCCUAGUGCAAUCAGUAGCAUAACGAAUGCUACCAAUAAUACUCGCAUACUCAGAUUGUUUAACACUGUCACCAAUGUUCUUGAACAAUUUUACACUAGGAUCAUGAGGAGUACAUGCUGGUUUACAAUCAAAAUAAUUAUACUUUCUUAAAAUUGUUUCUAUGUAGUGAGAUUGAUCUAAAGAAAACCCAUGUUCAAACCUAGUUAUUUUCAAACCAAGUAUUACGCUAACUUCACCCAAGUCUUUCAUAUCAAAAUUAGCAGAUAACAAAGAUUUGACAUUAUUCACAACAUGAAUAUUCGAACCAAAAAUAAGCAAAUCAUCCACAUAUAGGCAUAUAUUACUUUCAGACUUAUAAUAGAUGCAUUUGUCACUUUCAUUUAUUUUAAAACCAUUUGAAGUAACCAAACUAUCAAAUUUUGCAUGCCAUUGUGUGGGAGCCUGUUUCAAUCCAUAAAGUGACUUAUUUAACUUGCAAACUUUAUUUUCUUUUCUUGGAAUAAUAAAACCUGUGGUUGACCCAUAUAUAUUUCUUCCUCUAAUUUACCAUUUAAGAAAGCUGUUUAACAUCCAUUUGGUGCACAACAAGAUCAUGAAUAUAAGUUAAGGCAAACAAUACACGAAUAGAUGUUAUUCUAGUCACAGGUGAACAAAUAUAAAAGAAAUCAAUCUUUUCUCUUUGUCUAUAGCCUUUGGCAAUAAGUCGGGCUUUAAAAUUUUCAACUGAUCCAUCAGGUUUUAAAUUUUUUUUAAGAAUCUAUUUGCAACCUAUUGUUUUGCAACCAGGUGGAAGAUCCACCAAGUGCCAAGUUUGAUUUGACUCCAGGGAGUCCAUUUCAUCAUUUAUAACUUCUUGCCAAAAAAUUGCAUCUAAAGAAGUUAAAGCUUCUUGAAUUGUAUUAGGAUCUUCUUGUAAGUUAUAUACAUGGAAAUCAGGGCCAAAAUCUUUAGCUAUUCGAGCUCUUUUACUUUUCCUAGGUUCUAAUGCAGAUUGACUAUGUUUUACAACAUUAGGUUCAUAAAUUUUAGAAGAAUUAGAACCCCCACUAUUUUGAAGAUUAAAAGGAAAUUUAUUCUCAUAAAAAUCAGCAUCAAGUGACUCAAUUAUGACAUGGUUUUUCAAAUCAUAACAUCUAUAUGCUUUGCUAUUACAUGCAUAACCAAUAAAAACACAUUCAUAUGCUCUACUAGCCAAUUUCGAUCUUUUUGGACCAAGUUUACGAACAUAAGCUAAACAACCCCAAGUUUUGAAAUACAAUACAUUUGUUUUCUUAUUUUUCCAAAUUUCAUAAGGAGAGAUAUUCGAUUCUGAGGUAGGAAUUCUAUUUAAUACAUAACAUAUAGUCAACACAAUUUCACCCCACCAAUAAGAAGCAGCUCCAGAACUAAGUAGCAACACUCAAUUCGCAAAGAGUUCGAUUUUUUCUUUCCGCUUUACCAUUCAUUUCAGGAGAAUAAGGAGCAGUAGUUUCAUGAAUAAUUCCAUUAGACUUAAACAAAUUAACAAAUUCAAUGGAUUCAUAUUCUUGUCAUCUAUCACUACGAAAUCUUUUAAUCUUAUGAUUAAACUGAUUUUCAACUUCAGUAAAGAAAGUUUUGAACAUGUCAAUAGCUUUACUUUUAUUUUUCAUAAGAUAGACAAAACAGUAAUUCAAACAAUCAUCAAUAAAGGUAAUAAAAUAACGUUUUCCAUUUCUAGUUAACACUCUAUCAAAUUCGCAUAUAUCAGAAUGAAUUAAGUCAAGUGGUUCAGAUUCUCUAUUGACAGAUUUAUGUGAAGUUCUAGUGAUUUUAGCUUGACUACAAUAUUCACAUUUUUCAAAAUCAGUCAACGAUAAGUUAGGUAAAAAGCCUAAGUUACUCAUGUUCUUAACCAAGAGUUUGUUAACAUGACAAAGUCUAGCAUGCCAAGUAUUAAAAGAAGACAACAUGUAAUCAGAAGUAGACAUUUUAUCAACAUUCAAUUUAAACAUUCCAUUAGUAGCAUAUCCCUUUCCCACAAAAACCCCAUUUCUAGUAAGAGUAUACGUAUUUGCUCCAAACGUUUGAGUGAAUCCAGCCUUGUUGAGAAGUAAGCCUGAGACCAAAUUCUUCCUUAUUGUUGGAGCAUGCAUCACAUCUUUCAGUAUCAUGGGUUUUCCAGAGGUGAACUUUAACUCCACCUCUCCAGUACCAGCAACAUCAGUUGAGUGCGAAUCACCCAACAACACAUUUCUUCCCUCAGCCAUAGAAUAGGUCUUGAAAAGAGAACGAUCGUAGCAAGCAUGGGGAGAAGUGCCAGUGUCCACCCACCACCCACCACCCCUCGGACUAAGUUGAUUUCUGAUAUCAUUGCAAUUAGUUGCUCUUCAACAAGAUUUGUUUGAGAAGCAAAGUUUUCCUUAUAAUGCAUGGCAGAUUGAAUUCAUCUUAAAAUUGUUGUAAACUGAAAUAGAAAGGAACGAAAUUACUCAAAAAAAAUGUAGAAGCCUUGAGUGGUGAAUGAUUCUUGGGAUGAGUCAGGGACUAAGUCACUUUCUUUAAAACAUUUUGCGGCUUUGCCCAAAGUGUGCAAGCAGUUCACAAACACCACGUCGUCCCCAGGAUAUAACAUCCCAAAACCUUCUUCUUCUGAUGAAGUUCUUCCUUGCACAGUGGAAGAACCUUCGAACUCACACUCUCUCUCAAUAUGUUGCUAACCAAAACUAUAUAUCAGAAAAUAUAUCUAUUUUUGUUCCGCAUACUUUCACUACUAAAUAUACAUUUAGACGAAAAAGACGUUGAGAGUUUGAGAAAAUUGAAAGCAGGAAUAAAACGGUCUUAGGUCCGAUUCUCGCCGAAGGCGAAUUUGAACCACUAAACCGUAGCACUAAGUGGCUCCUAACAAUGUCUCUUAACAAGUUUAGAGGUAUUUGUCUUCACUAAUAAAUGAAAAGCGUUUGAAUUUCAUGAAUGACAAGUGCAAUACAAAAUUCAAAUUAUCAUGGUUCUUCCAUUAUAUGAUUUAACCAAAGCAUACCAUCUCUUAGUGUAAAUAUAUCAUUGAACUAUCAUUGAAGUAGUUCCAACAUUCGUAUACCAUCUUAAUUAUCAAUUUACUAUUACAAAAUUUCUAUUAAUUUUUCUUUACAAACUAAAGUGUUAUUAGGCUAAGUUGUUAAAUAUUAGGAGAUGAGUAGGGAUCGACCCACCGCCAAAGUACAUAUAUAGGUAUUACUGUUUUCUGCUACUAUGAUAAAGUGUAAUAUACUUCUAUAUAUUAAAAGAAAAUUCACUGAUACAUUUCCACAUGUAAACAUUCAACAUUGGACAUAUAUAAUAUUUUUCCCUACUUCUUUGGAAAUUUAAUUUUCCAAUGCAAUAGGCAAAUAGGGAAACAAAGACAAUCCCAACUGGGAAAGCAAUGAGAACAAGAGCCACAAGGCCUAAACAAUCAUGGUGGAAACCAUAAUAAUCUUGUAGGAUUAUUUUCUAUUUAAAAAACGUAUGUGAACAUACACAUUAUUUUCUAUUAUAAUAUGUGUAAGUUUAUGAAGGGAAAUAUUCACUAAAAUGAUCAAAAAUCAAAUUCUGAUGCCAAAACAAAAUCAAAUAUUGUCAUACUGAAAAACUAAUCAUUUCAACAAAUGAGAUUCAAAUAUUUGAUUAUUUUGGCCAAUUUUCCUGUAUUGAUACCCUAACCUAAAGUAUAAAUUACUUGCACAUCCAAAUUAUAACACAUGAAUUAACAACACUCCGUCAAUUAGACUUGUGUUACAUGUAUUUACACGGUUAUUGUCAUUCCAAGUGCUCAAAUGCUAAUGGAGUUACACAAAACCAUCAAAUAUUAGAAAAGAUUGGAUUCAAGAUAUACUAAGUAUAAUGUACAGAAUGUUGCAUAUAAAGUACCAGAAAACUUUAGUAGGUGACCAAGAGAACCCUAUUGCAGGAUAUGCAACGGCUACAUACAAAACUUGUAACAUUGUAUAAUGUAUUUUAAUGGCAACAUGCAACAUUUAACACUUUACACUAUAUUUGGAUGAGGAAGUUUAAGAUUGCUAAGGAAAUUUAAAGUAACGGAAAUUGAAAUGAUGGAAUUUUAUUUUAUAGAAUAUGUGAAUUUUCUUGUUUGGUUGAGGAAAAUAAACUUGGAAUUUAGAUAAAAGUCAGAAUUUGUAAAUUGACAUGCACCAGUUUCCUUGUUUGGAUUCAUAAACAUAUAUAGGAAUUUAGAAUUUUCGGGUGAAAAAAAAACUUGGAAUUUGGGACCUCCAAUUCCCAAGUUUAAAUUCCAUGUAAAUAUGUAUCAUUUCCCAAUUUCUAUGAUUGAGUGCUUAAAAAUAACAAAUUCCGUAAUCAAUUCCAUUUAUUUUUAGGUUAACCAAACAAGAGAAUUCACAAAUUCUAGAAAAUAAAAUCCUGUCAAUUCAAUUUCCGUCAUUUUAAAAUUCCUUAGUAAUCUUAAAUUUCUUCAUCCAAACAUAGUGUUAAGAACAAUGGAAUUUGAAAUGAAAUUUGUUAUUUUAAACCCUCAUUCAUGAAAAUUCAGAAAUGACACCAAUUUACAUAGAAUUUAAAAUGGGAAUUAGAUGUCCCAAAUUCCAAGUUUUUUUCUCAUGCAGAAAUUCUAAAUUUCUAUGUUUAUGAAUCCAAACAAGAGAAUUGGUACAUGUUAAUUUUUAAAUUCCAGCUUUUAUCAAAAUUCCAAGUUUAUUUCCCUCAUCCAAACAUAGUGUUAGUUUAAAACUGUGAAGAUUUUGAUUUAUCGAUUACAAACUAAAUAAGUACUUGAAUUCUUAGGCACUUCAACGUAUGAACUUGUGCAAAUGAACAAGGUCGGCCCUGAGAUUUUGAAGGCCCGAGCUAAGCUACCAAAUAGGAGCCCUUUAAUUCUUAGGCACUCCAAUUGGUUGUAGGUUCAUAUACAUUUUAUUUUUAUAGUAAAUACUCAUUAAUUUAUUAUUAUAUCGUACUCUUAUUUAAUUAAUAAUCAACAAUAUGCUAAAGUUUUAAGAAGGUGUUUGGACCCAAAAUUACAUCAUCGGCCCGUGCAAUCAAGGCCGUUGAGUAGGCAUAGCUCUCAAUCGUCGGAUAAAAAAGCAGAGAUAAUUUUGUUAUUAAAGGAUAAUAUUAUGGUUUUUAUCAUAAUUAUCUUUUAAUGAUUUAUCUCGACAUCUUCUUAUGAAAGAGGGAAAAUAUAUCUCCAAGCUGGAAACACGCAGCACAAUUCAAAGCGAUUUGGAUGUUUGGCGUGUGGAUGUGGUUUGGAUCGGUUUUAGUUGACAAAUAUGCAUGCAUGUGAUAAGGGUGAAGUAAAAAUGGUGAUAUGCUUUGAAAAUGAGUCUACAUGUGUUGGUGAUAAGAUGGCAGCAACUGCCUUGCUGACAAUUAACAUUGGGUAUUUUAUGCUAAAUCAUGCAUAUUGGUAUAUGCUUUUGUAUUGUGGGCCAGCAUAUGUUUUUUUUUUAUGGAGCCAAAUUCAUUUAACAAUGGAUAUUUGGAACAAUAAGAAGUUUAAGUAGGCAUAGGCCUUUGAGAGUUUGAGUUUCAGUUGGUUUCUACGAAAUCAUCAAGGCCACGCCAAGCGGGAUCAUGCAUAUUUGAAAGAGAAUAUUCCUAUUAUUUUGCAACUUACGACGGCAAUCUUACGGUUAUAGAGGCAAUGACAACAUAAAGGUGGUAUUUCGAAUUCAACACACAAACUGCCAUGCACAAACUCUUGCUCUACGCGAAACCUCUUAACAACCUUGAGAUUUUUAUUUUCCUUUUUCGCCAACACAUCUUCAGUUUGGAUAAAUAGCACUAUGAAGGCAACCGGUGAACAUCUUCACUUUGGAUAAACAAUACUAUAACCGUAGAACCAUUCGACCAUGAAGCACCUUUAGUUUGGAUAAACAACAUUGCUCCGAGACCGAUUGAUUACCUAUCCAAGUCUCGGUCAAGAAGAAUUUUCAAGUCCUUACUAGUAGAGAUCAUCUCAUCAGCCUUCUCGACGAAGUGAGGUGUUACCAGGUUACUACAUUCGGCACCCUGAGAGCCCAAUUUGAUAUUGAACUUCGUAGAACUAAUAGCCUUGUCUUCAGGUUCUAGAACCUGAAGGUCGAGACGUGUUCAUUUCUCGACCGCAGUCGUGAGAUUCAGAAGUCAAUAGUGCGCCCAAUGCAACAUCAACUCAUUUUACUUACCGGUCAAGCUCGACCGUCGAGUUGGCAUGCCCCACACACAACCGAAGGACAUAGUUAGCUUUUUAAUUACUCGGCUUGUGCGCCACGUAUACUUGAUAGUUUUUAAGAUCAACAGAAGGUAAAGAGCAAUAAAAACUGAUUAACGAAUUUAACAAAUUUAAUAGCGCCAAUUGAUCCUCUUGUAUUCUUCUUGAAAUCAAUUUCACAAUAACGAAUAUUAGAAUCAUGAGAUGAUUGAUAAUAAAUUAUUGAAACAGAGAAGAUAUAGCAAAUAAGAUAAGGUAGCUGGCAUUUGAUAGCGAUUUUGCUUGUAAAACUACACUUUUUGUCCAUCCAGAAGAAACCCAUUCUUCUGUUACAUGGCUUAACCGUGACCACACAAAACAGGAGAGCACGGGAAGGGCACCAGAAGUGGAGGGCAAACAAUCCUUGUCCGUGCUUUGUCCAUCGAGAAUAAGAAAUUGUAGGGACUAGGGGCCCAUUGCUCUUUUGAGAUGCAAGUUAAGGGACCUAACAAAGGGAAGUAAAAAGCAUUGGUAGGACAAAACAAGCCGUUUUAGGAAAACAACUUGGGGGAAGAUUCUCUCAUUUCCUAAUCUCUCUCCCAUUUUCUCUCCUUCUAUUUGAACGGUUACGGUUUAGCUACGUCAAUAUCUUAUAUAUAUAUUUUUAGAGACGAUAAGACAAAAAAUAAUAUGUGGGAGAAGGGAAAAGAAGGGGAUGAGAAUAGGAGGGGAGAUAAUUCUCUUCCAAACAACUUGCCUAUACAAUUCGGAUUCUAAGACGGUGGUAUCCCAAACGAAUCUCAUCCGACUAUGUGUUUAAACAUUGCACAUGACACCACGUGAUUGUUAAAACAUUGUCACCGUAGUGUAUUGUACAUAUACAUGAUUGUUUUGAAGUAACAUCAUCAUUGUGACAUAUUCAUGACGUAUGCUUAUCUCGCCGACUAGAGUUUCAGAUUCCUAACCAGGCGGGCAUAAACGUGCUUACAGCCUAAAAGGCCUUAACCUCAUAGAUCUGAAAACACAUUUCUGUCGGAGAAAUUGUCAAGAAUAAGAUACGAACUAGAGUUUACUCCGGGCAAGAUACCUGAGAUUUUUAGCCGUUAAAGUCAUUGAAUUCUUGACCAAUGAUCUAACAGCUAAGUUCACAUUGUAUAACCGAGGCACACUACAGAACGUAGAAAAAAAUAAUGGGGAUUAAAACGCUUCAUUGGGUAGAGGGAUAAGUGACAAAACAAUGAGAAAAAACACAUCAAUUGUAUUAGAAAUGCAACUUGCCAAUGUGCACAACAACAAAUGAACAUAGUUGCUACUCCACCGCAAAACCACCUCUGUGUCUGUCAAAUCUUAUUAAUCUCUGCGAGCAGAGGUAGCAAAACAACCUUGAAAAAAAACCCCCCACAACUUUCCAUAUGUUUUUUUUGACACCCCCGUUAACCCCUCAUAAUCAUAAACUACUAAUGACACAUUCUUCAAAGAACACGAAAAUAUAAAAAUACUAAUAAAAGAAAACCCAAAUGGCGCAAUGCCUGUAUAGAGAGAGAGAGAGAGAGCGAGAGCAGCAGAGGCUUAAUUCAAUUCAAUGUUUUGAUUCGAAGGGGUGAAGACUGAAGAGCCGCCAUUAAAGCUUUAAGCUUGGGGCUUGUCCCACUUGAGUGGCUUGACAACCUCCCAGGUGAAGUCGGGGUCAUCCCUCCCGAAGUGUCCGUAGGCGGCGGUCUUCAAAAACCUUCCAUUGCCACCCCUCUUGAG
rnacentral:lncRNA from 1 species